UGCUGCCCACUGCCAUAACUUUGCACCCCAACAAAGCCGAUGAGGCCAUCAAUGAACUCUCAGAAAUAUCUGAUCUCUCUAUAAUCAAAAUCAGAUGCAAUUCCACAAGGGCCCUUUCAGAAACAAAAUUAAAAGGCCAGGCCACCACUUAUAGAAAUCCUGGGAUAAUCAACUUCAAAUACAUUUGGAUUUGCGUUUACAUGGCCAUCAUAAUUCAGGUUGUCCAGAAUUUCUCCUGCUAUUUUCACAACGAGGGUGUUUAUUGACACAGUUGAGUUGGGCAUUACAAGCUCCCAUCUGUACCAUCAUGCAUUUGGGUUGCUUCGGUUUUGUAAUUGACAAAGCAAAGUAUUUGUAUUCCGAGAAAGGAAUUGAAGACGAAACUUAGUUCUUACCAGCCACUCUCUAUACCCUUGAGUGCCAUUCUGGUUUAAUAUUUUCACAGCUAUUAUAGUCCCUGCACUUCCAUAUGGUUGCUUCCCAGGAAGCAUUGUAGUCUCUGCACUUCCAUACGGUUGCUUCCCAGGAAGCAUACCUUUAUAGACACAACCAAAUCCUCCCUUUCCAAGCAGUGCAUCGGCUGGAAAAUUUUUGGUCGCCGCUUUCAACUCUGCGAAACUGAAGAUGGUCAAGCUGGCAUCUGCCACAGUCUUUCCAUUUCUGAAGGCCUUUUUGCCGUGGGCAGCCAGCAAGGCAUGGCUAUUGCUGGCUGCAGAAGAUGAUAUAGGGAGAGGCCGCAAGUCACGGCUAUUGCUUGCUGCAGAAGAUGAUGAAGUGGUGAUAUUCCACUUCGCUCCUGUAGUUUCAAAAAAGAAAAACAACGAACUGAGAAAAAUUGCUUCGGACGAUAACAAGAAGAACAUUAAAGACUCCAAACUGAAGUCACAAAGAUCCAUUUUAUAGAGACUACAUAGAUGUAAAGAUAAAGAUCACUCUAGGAAAAAAUUUAAAGAGUACCUGACUUGGGAUUACCAGCGAAGGUAGGAGUAGGGAAGUCAGGAGUACCGAAACACACCCCCAUCUCUCUCGUCUCUCUCAAUAAUAACUACUGUCUUUCUGUUACCUUGCCUCUACCAAAAUCUUAUUCCCUCUGGAGAAGAGGACGUUGACUUGAUGUCACGUUCAGUCAAGUGAAACCAACUGAAAACGCGCUUGAUUUUCUUAUGCCCAAAGCAGACGCCACAUAUUUCCAAUGCAUGUCAUAUAUUGACCCCGGUGGACUUUCAAAGGACGAGAAGGAAAGCAGAACGAGGGCUAAUUCUAUAAAAAAAAAAAAUACAAACUUUAAGUAUUAUCCUAAAUCUCAUCCAAAUUAUAUUUUACCUUAAAAAAAAGCCCAAACUUUUAGUAGCUUCCAAAUCUGGCCUCCCUUCACCAUCCUUCCACAGUGACCGUUAGUGGCUUUCUCUUCUUACUUCUGCUCAUCAAGUCUCUCUCUCUUUGACAUCCUCCGGCUAGAGUCACCGCCAAACUUGACAUCCGCGCGUCCACCGCCGAUGCCUGUCCAAGCCAACACUGCACAUCCAAACCAAACCACCCCUCCGUCGUCCUUGUUGUUAGCUUCAUCUUCGCUGGCAUCUCCAUUGUCUUUGCGGUCAUCUUUACCCGUUUUCGGCUGAGCAAAUGGCCAAAAAUCUGGAAAAAAUAGAAGUCUCCAGAAAAAAAAAAAAAAAAAAAAAAAAAAAAAAAUCUGGGAAAAAAUCUUUGAGACAAAGAAGGGGCAAUGGGUAUCUUGGCUUGUUUUUUUAGCCAAAAAAUCUGAUAUUUAGAGGAGUUUACAGAGCAACGUGGGUCAAAAAAUCAGUGGAUCUCUUGGCUUGUCCUUCUGGCCAAACAUAGAAGACAUGGCCGCAAACAACUCGACCUAUGCGGAAUCCGUAAAAGCUGGGUUAUGGGAAAUCUGUGGAAUCUUGGGGAAAAAAAGAAGGAAACCCAGAAACUUGAAUGCUAAAGGUUUCCUUUUAUUCAUUGCAGCUCAUCGCCGGAAUAGGAAAAAAAGAAGAAGAAGAAGAGAAACCCAUACUUGAAUGCUAAAGUUGAUUCAGAAAUUCACAAUCUGCUCGCGAUUCCCUCUAUUCGUCUCCGCCUUCAUCUUCUCGAAGGCCAACUCCAGAUCUAAAACAAAGCCCCAUCCAUGGCCGCGACAAGCGAGGUCGAAGUAGGAGGAAGAGACAGAAAAAAAAAAAAAAGACUUGGGUGGGUCGAUAACCCACCGUCGUCCUCGUCGUCCACGCCGCCGCGCCCAUCUCCUUCACCGUUCGCUUCCUCCUGGCUCUGCAUGCCGUCUUCCUCCUCUUCUUCCUCGUCGACGGCGGCGGGGACGCCGUCCUCCUUCACAACCCUAACUUUCUCGUCCUCUUCGAACUCGAUCUCCUCUUCCUCGUCGGAAUUCAUUGUCGCAAUCACGACCUCACGCUUGCCGGGACAAGAAUCCGGUGAUUUCUCGGCUCGAUUCUGAACCAAAACGAACGGAAAUCUUCGAGAAAAUGAAAAAUAAUGGGAAAAAAUUUUCUGGGUGACGUGAAAAUGCCUCAUAUGACUAACGACGACCGUAGAAGGAGAGUUAACGGGCGAGAUUUGAAAUACGAGUUAAAGUUUAUGCUGUUUUUGGAGAUAAAAUAAAGUUUGGCCAAAAUAGCCCGAAAAACCUCAAUCAGUACACGUAUGAUAAAUUUAUCUUAAAUUGUUUUUUCGACCACCAAAAACCUCAACUGAUAUAUCUUUGACAAAUUUAUCCCAAAUCAAUAUACUUGUGACAAAUUUACUCUCUAUAAUUUUCGUUAAUUUAUUAUCAAUUAUAGUAAAUGACACAUACAGUACUAUAUAUAUUUCAGAUUUUACGCUCCGUUUGUCAGUUUACAACAUUUGAUUGUAUUUUUUGUGGUAUAUCUAUCUAAUUUAGCAUAAGGUAUAUUUGUCACAAAUGUAUCAGUUUGAAGUUUUUUGUGGUCGAAUAAAUUAGUUUAAGAUAAAUUUAUCAUAAAUGUACUAAUUUAUGAUUUUUUAUAGUCAUGUGGAGUAAAUUUGUCAAAAAUACUAGUUUUGGGUUUUUAUGAUCAAAAAAAUAAUUUGAGAUAAAUUUCUCAUAAAUAUACUAGUUUGAAGUUUUUUAGGGUAUUUAACCCUUUAAGAAAACACCUAAAGUUGGUUUUUUUUUUUUAUGGAAUUUGGCUACAGAAAGAGGGCACACCCGGUUUUAAACAGGGCACGCUCGGUUUUAAAACAAACCAACUUCCAUUCAGUAGAAUGCAGAAAUCCAUGAAAUCGAUCGAGAAGAAGCUUCCUCUUCUUUUCAGCAAGUCGUCUGCCUAGCUAACGUCGGAAUAAAAGGUCGAUCCUUUUUUAUCAGAGUCAAUCAAUUUGGAAAGAUGAUGUCCAAUUCCAUUUGGUGGAGAUGUCAAUGUCUAUAGAAGGGUUUGUGUUCAUUUUGUUCAAGAAAUUUAUAUAAAUAAAAAAAAAAAGUUUCAAGAACGGUUUCGAAGCCAUAGAAGGGAAAAAUCUUCCGAGCCAAAUCAAAUAUGAAAGUAAUCGAGUGAUGAAUUUAACAUUUGAGUCGAUCUCAUCAGUCCACUUUUCAACCAUAAUAAAAGAUUCUAAUGAUAAGGAUUAGGAAUCAAAUUGAUCCUUCAUGGUGGAAACAAACCAAUUCAAUUAGUGAGUCUAUUUUGAAGUCUAUUAGCUCUUGAGGAAGUUCUGUACUAGAAAAGAACAAAUUAUUAGUGUUACUUAACAUUUCAUCCUCACUGGUACAAGUUUCAACUGCACAUAUGAUAUUCUCCAAUAAUUCAUAUUCAAGAGAGAAGAUGGAUUCGAGAUCAUCAUCGUUAAGAUAAAUUUCAAUUUUUUUCUCAAGUUUCUUAAUCAUCUCAACAUACUUAUUUUUCUUAAGCCAUCUCAAGACAAAUAACCAAUCUCUCCACAAGAGUUAAAUUCUCAGUAAAUUCAGCCCCUCCAAAAAUUUGAAUCCACAGUCACUUUUCCUACGUGAGCGAAACGAAAGAAGGAGAGAAACCAAUUCAAAAGCAAUCGUCCAAACCACUAACGGCCCCCUCUGUUUCCAAGUGAAAUUUUGUCUUCCCUACUUAGGAUGGAAUACUCCCGAAAUUUUAGUCUCAGAAUUCAAAUAAAGCAGUUUAAGGAUGUACUUGGGUCCACCUGUCCCAUCUCCAUCUCUCUCUUUUUUCCUUACAUAUCUUUCAUGUAAAUAGUGAUUGAUUGCAGCGCACCAUUUGAAACCCAGCUUAAAACGUAAGCUUCUUUGCUUAAUCUCCGCUAAAAAGGUUCACCAAAUUGGUCCCCCCAUCUCUGCUUUUUCUGACCGGGUCACCUUGAUGUUCUCUCUCUCUCUCUCUCUCUCUCUUUUUGCUCCUUCCCUUGCGUUGGGGAGAUUCCAUUGAGAAACGGCACAGUGCCAUGCUUCUCUAGCAUUCCACUUGUAAUGAUGGAAAGCUUCAACCCAUACUUAAGCUUUUUUUUUUUUGGUAAAGAACCCAUACUUAAGUUCAUUCCCACCUAAGACCAGCUCAAGCACCCCAGUCCAAGACAGUGCAACAGGGACCAAGAGAGGGAAAAUGUCGGCUCAUAUUAUCAUCACUGUAUUCGCAAUAUGGAUUCGACCCACAGGGGAUUUGGUAAGACAGGGAGAUCUCAAACCUGGAGAUCACAUCUAUACUUAUCGGCUGUAUGGCCUAUACCCCCACCAUGGUUAGUGGUUCAUCCUCUUCUUCCUUUUCCUAUUAAUCAUUAUCAUUUUUCUUGAACAUAGAUAUCUUCAUAUGUGGCUCGACUGAAUUUUCCUUUAUUAUCUUAUGUUUUUGGCCCAAGAACAGUAUUUGCAUAGCUUCAGAGAUAAAAGACUCUCCUCCACCGGUCCUCCGCCGCCGCCGCACGUUCCGGCCGCUCCCCUCCGGCGGCCCCAUUGUCGACCCCUCUUCUCAGCUUUUCAGGAGUCGACGAAAUGCCAGAGAGAGAACCUGACUGAGCUGUGCUUCAUUUCCUUCUUUCCGGUCGCCGAUUUAUAUCAAGCUUCGCCAUUAUACUUCUCAGCAGUUCCAGCGUUGACCGUCUUCAUCUCCAGCGAAUCUCCAUCGUAGACUCUCCCCUUCGCUACUUCGUUUGUGUUGACGAGGUGUUCGACAAAAUGCCAGAAAGUUGGUAAGAUUGAAGUUCUCCUCCAGUCCGCAGCGCCACCAUUCCUUCUGGUAGCUGUUAUGGUCCAGGUUUUCAAGGGCGUCAACCCCGUAUCUUCCCCACCCAACCCCCCCCCCCCCCCGCGGCUGCCAACAACAACGAUCCACGCAGGACAUAGAUCCAACAAAGAUGGUACAAACGCAGCAUGGGAAAGCAAGUAUCCCCGAGCUGUCGUCAUCAGGAAACAAGGUUGUCGCGGUUCCUCCCCUGGAGGCUUUAGUCGAGGGUAAAAUACAUUUGAAAAUUGUCUUGUUGGAUACUUCCUUGCUGCCAAUGCAUCAUUCUACUUAGUGAAAGGUAUUUUGGAGAAAUUGUGGUGAUUCUACAGUAACUAUUUAGUACGUGUGGAAUGAUUUGGACAAUUGAUUAUUUUUCUGUAUCGCAAAUAUUCAUUAUUGAUUAUGGGUGCGUUUGGGAACGCUUUUGGGAAAAGUCCUUAGCAAAAUGCAAAGACCUUUGAGUUUAAUGUAUUUUUCAAAAUGCAAAGUGUGUUUGGUAAAAUUGUAGUUUGAAAGCUCAUUUGAAGUAUUUUUGUGCAAAAUAGUGUUUGGAGGAAUUAUAUUUGCAAAGUGCUUUGGUGAUAAANNNNNNNNNNNNNNNNNNNNNNNNNNNNNNNNNNNNNNNNNNNNNNNNNNNNNNNNNNNNNNNNNNNNNNNNNNNNNNNNNNNNNNNNNNNNNNNNNNNNNNNNNNNNNNNNNNNNNNNNNNNNNNNNNNNNNNNNNNNNNNNNNNNNNNNNNNNNNNNNNNNNNNNNNNNNNNNNNNNNNNNNNNNNNNNNNNNNNNNNNNNNNNNNNNNNNNNNNNNNNNNNNNNNNNNNNNNNNNNNNNNNNNNNNNNNNNNNNNNNNNNNNNNNNNNNNNNNNNNNNNNNNNNNNNNNNNNNNNNNNNNNNNNNNNNNNNNNNNNNNNNNNNNNNNNNNNNNNNNNNNNNNNNNNNNNNNNNNNNNNNNNNNNNNNNNNNNNNNNNNNNNNNNNNNNNNNNNNNNNNNNNNNNNNNNNNNNNNNNNNNNNNNNNNNNNNNNNNNNNNNNNNNNNNNNNNNNNNNNNNNNNNNNNNNNNNNNNNNNNNNNNNNNNNNNNNNNNNNNNNNNNNNNNNNNNNNNNNNNNNNNNNNNNNNNNNNNNNNNNNNNNNNNNNNNNNNNNNNNNNNNNNNNNNNNNNNNNNNNNNNNNNNNNNNNNNNNNNNNNNNNNNNNNNNNNNNNNNNNNNNNNNNNNNNNNNNNNNNNNNNNNNNNNNNNNNNNNNNNNCGAGAGUAGCUGAGGAUAUUUUUGGAGAAAUAAAAAAAAGUGAACAGUGCCACUUGUAUGCCGAGAAAGCUGAAAGCCCAAGGCACCCCUUCACCUGCCUUGGGCUUUCAGCUUUGGGGAGGUCAGCAUUUCUUCAAGGCAAGUGUAAAUUUUUUUCCCAAACACCCAAUAUUUGGGCAAAUGGGCUUUGGGUACCCAAAGGUACUUGGCAAAGCUGGUGCCAAACGCACCCUAUAACAGGAAUCUACGGAGGGCUACGUGAUUUACUUAACACGAACAGGAGUUGAGGAGACGAGUAUCCAUCGCUUCCAGCAAGAAAACAAGAAACUCUACUCCCUCUGUUUAUAUGCAUAUGGGCAGCCACAACUUGGGUAUUGUCUGACGAGAUGGGGGACUUGCGCCACCAUAACCAAAACCGAAUCGCCCCAGGAAGUCGUGAACAAGGCUCGCGAGCUUCAUGAGCACAAUAGUUUCUGCAAGUACGACCUCAUCAAUAGCAACUGUGAGCAUUUCGCCUCAUUGUGCCGGACCGGCAUACAGGCAAGCACACAGACGGCAUUGGUCGGUGCUUGUCUGCAGAAGACCAGUGAAGUCAAAGAAUGGUUUAUGAAGUUUCUGCAGACGAAGUAAGUUCGAGUGACUCAAAAUUCCACGAAUCCUUCCUUCCCUGUCUUUUUACAAGCAACUAUUUUCAUCUGUUUAAGAGUCAUUUUCCGUCAUCCAGCAGUAAAACGAAUGAAACUUUAGUUUUGUAUAUCCACUUUUGGACUGGAAUGGGAAGCGAGAGACAUGCACGCGUGCACGGAGGAAGAACUGAGAUAAGAAAUUGUAUGUGAGCCGCAAAGCUAUGUUCAUUGUUAUUUGAUGUGCCCAGAAAUAUGUAAGGACUUCUGUCUGUUGAUGCUCGGUCCUCCUAGUUAGACUUGCCAAAAGAAGGUAACAUCUAAUCCUGAAUCAAUUUCUCACAUUCAAAUCAAUUCACUUUGGUGCAUGUUGGAUACAUUCUUUGGGCAUUCGAGAAAUAAUUGGAGAAACAAAACAAUGGUGAAAUUGCACUAGACUAUCAAAAAGAGUUUGUUCCACAAGUGCACAAUCUUUUCCUUCUCCGCGACCUCUCUCUCUCGACAAUAUUGUUAUGUAUUUUGUUGUUCUUGCUUGGCCACCAUUGUCAUUUACAUUAAAGCAUGAAAUGGAUUGACCUUGUUUUUCUUGACGGUGAUCUCUCUNNNNNNNNNNNNNNNNNNNNNNNNNNNNNNNNNNNNNNNNNNNNNNNNNNNNNNNNNNNNNNNNNNNNNNNNNNNNNNNNNNNNNNNNNNNNNNNNNNNNNNNNNNNNNNNNNNNNNNNNNNNNNNNNNNNNNNNNNNNNNNNNNNNNNNNNNNNNNNNNNNNNNNNNNNNNNNNNNNNNNNNNNNNNNNNNNNNNNNNNNNNNNNNNNNNNNNNNNNNNNNNNNNNNNNNNNNNNNNNNNNNGAAUGCUGAAAGCUGAAUGCCGGGGGGGACCAGCUUUGAGCAUUGGGCAUUCUGGAUAUGCGAAUUUACUGUUCAUCGCGUUACUGUUCAUCGUCUCCUCCACCAUUCGCCUUCUUCUUCGCCGUUCGUCUUCUUCUUUGCCAAAGGCGGCACUCAGCCGCGAUCUGGCCGCCGAGAAGCCUCGCCUGAGGUCGCACAACCUCAGGCGAGGUGGCCUGAGGUCGGGCGACCUCAGGCGGCGUCGCCUGGCACGCGCGAGACCAGGCGACCAGGCGAGGCCAGAUCUGGCCGUCGAACGGCUAGAUCUGGCGGUCUUGAGGCCGGAUCUGGCCGCGGAACGGCCAGAUCUGGCGGUCUUGAGGCCAGAUCUGGCAUCCGUGACCUCCGGCGGCCAGAUCUGGCGGUCCGGCGACGGCCAGAUUUGGCCGUCCGGCGGCAGUGGCCAGCCGCCGAAAUUUGAUUUCAGACUUUAAAAAAAAUAAAAAAUAACCAAAGCUAAUUCCAAAUGUAAAUUUUGCCAAACGGUGUUUAUGCUAAGUUGCAUUUCAAUGCUAAAAUUUACCAAACGGUCUAACAUUUCCGAAAGCCUCUUUCUCUUAAAGAUAUUUGCAUUCCCCCAAUGACAUUCCCCAAAAGCCGAACCAAACGGGCCCUUUACUUCUAUCCUUCCUGUAAUAGUUGGACAAAAAGAAAAGUUUGAAUCGGUCCGACUUGGUGGCUUUAUAAUAAAAAUAAAAUAAAAUAAAAAGGGAGAAACUGCCUCAAUUGAUGAGCUAUCUCUUCACUUCACACACACAAAUGCCACCUGUAGCAUAGCGAAAGUGCCAACGAGUUCUAUAACGUUACUGAGAAGUCAUUCUGUUCAUAGCUGAUAGCCAAAGCCUCCAAAUUAAGUUCCAUCAAGUUAAGAAGUACAACUUCGAGUGCACUCUAUCUAAAUGAAGCUAUCGAGAAAUUGUCUGAAGUUCUUUUCUGAGAAGGGCAUAAGGAAGGUUCUCUCUUUUAUGUUGCACAUCCUCAUUAUUGAUUACAACAGGAAUCUACAUUGGAGAAGGCUAUGUGAUUCACUUCACAUGAACAAGAGUUGACAAGACGAUUGUCGAUUGCUUCCAGCAAGAAGGCAAGAACCUCUAUUCCCUCUGCUUAUGUGUAUAUGGGCGGCCACAACUUGGAUAUUGUCUGACAAGAUGGGGGACUUGCACCACCCAGGGAGGCAUGAACAAGACUUGCGAGCUUCAUGAGCACGAUAGUUUCAGCAAGUACAACCUCAUCAAUAAUAACUAUAAGCAUUUCACCUUGUUUUGCCGGACUGGCAUACGGGCUAGCGCACAAACAGCAUUGGUCAGUGCUUGUCUGCAGAAUACCAGUGAAAUCGAAGAAUGCUUCAUGAAGUUUCUUCAGAUGAAUUAUGUUCAGGUGACCCAAAAAUUCCACCAAUCUUCCCUUCCCAAUCUGUCUUUUUACUAGCAAUUAUAUUCAUCUGUUUGAGAGACAUUGUCUGUCAUCCAGCAGUAAAAGGAAUGGAACUUUAGUUUUGUAUAUCAAGUUUUGGACCGGAAUGGGCAGCAAGAGACAUGCAGGUGUGCGCGAAGGAAGAACUGAGAUAAGCAAAUGUAUGUAAGCCGCAAAACUAUGUUCAUUAUUAUUUGAUGUGCCCAGAAAUAUUUAAGGACUUAUGUCUGUUGGUGCUCAGUUUUCCUAGUUAGACUUGCCAAAAGAAGGUAACAUCUAAUCCUGAAGAAUUUCUCGUAUUAAAAUCACUUCAAUUUGGUGCAUAUUGAAUACAUUCUUUUGGCAUUCGAGAAACAAUUGGAGAAACGAGACAACAAUGAAAUCGCACUAGACUAUCAGAAAGAGUUUGUUCCACAAAUACACAAUAAUUUCCUUCUCAGCAAACUCUCUCUCAACAAUAUUGACAUUUAUUUUGUUGUUUCUUGUAGCAUAGAACGUUACAGAGAAGUCAUUCUGUUCAUCUCUUUUAACUAAGACAGCUGAUAGCCAAAACCUCCAAAUCAAGCUGUAUCAAGUUUAGAGGUAAAACUUCAAGCGCACACUAUCUAAAUAAAGCUAUCAAGAAAUUGUCUGAAGUUCUUUUCUGAGAAGGGCAUAAGGAAGGUUCUCUCUUCUAUCUCAAACUAUUUACAAGAAUGAAAAACCAAUCCCAAAGGAUUUUAGUCAUUAUGUGCAAAAUGUUUUUGCUUCAUUCAGAUAACCUGGCAGCAUGGUUAUUCCAAAGGACAAGGCGCAUCGUAAGAUAAGUCAAGCAGGAAGGUACUUUUUUUAGCACAAAGCCGCAAAUAUGGAGUUCACUCCGAACCCAUUUCUCAAAUUUAUAUAUCACAACCCACAAAGCAAUGUGGGCUGCUAUUUGCUAUGAAAAUUUGAACAUGGUAGUCAGUGCUUAUUUGAUCGAAUAGGCCAAAUGAGUUUCACCUGGGAAGGAUACUGAAUAGUGUGACCAAUGACUGCUCUGCUCAUACAAGCAGACAAAUUCCUCGCUGGUGAACAAAUCGAUCAUGCAUGGUGCCUUCAAGACUUUGAUCGCAACAUGAAGUACGAACAACAUAAUAAAUAAAUUCAAGCAUUUCAUAUUCUAUUAGCACUGGCAGCUUCUAUUGAUUCUAAUUCUUUCACGACUUUAGUCAUGGAAGGCCGAGACCUAGGAGUCUCUUCAACGCAUUUUGAGGCAAGCUUUGCUAUUUGGAAUGCAGAAUAUCUAUUAUAUUUGCCCUUCAAUCUAGAGUCCAUUAUAGUCCACAGUUUGUCUUUACUGGAUAAGAAUGGUCCAGCCCACUCCACUAAAUUAGCUUUGCCUCGUGGACGUGUCGAAUCAAAUGCCCUCCAGCCCGUCAGUAUCUCAAGCAGCACGAUACCAAAACUGUAAACAUCACUCUUUACACAUAGACGCCCUGUAAAAUCCAAGAGCUUUAUGUGAUGUUACAGCGAAACAUUAGAAAAUAACUUCCUGAAAUUAUUGUCAAAAUUCAAGACUAAAUGUUUUUCAACCCUAAAGCUCCAUUCAUUUCACAGAAAACAAUUUUCUGGAAAAAGUUUUCCGGAUUUUCUGAUACUAAUUUCGUAGAAAAUGAACUGAUCAAGAGAAAUAUUUUCCUUCAAUGAAAAAAGUCUUUUAAAAUAGGGAAAAAUGUUUUCCUCUUUUCAAGUAGGGGAAGACAUUUUUCUCACUCACUCUCUAUUAUCCCACACUCUUGCUAGCCCUCACUUCUUUCUCUUAUUUCUUUUGUAAAAACGGCAACGCUAUUUCCACUCCGUUUAUGACUAAAUCCACCCCAUUUUCACCAAGGAAACAAGAUUGCCCUUGAUCAUUUGCUUGCAAUUUAAAGUGGUGGUCCCAUUUCUUUUUUUCUUUUAUUUUCACCUCCAUCUAGAAUCCAGUUGCCAUAAUUAAGCAUUUUACAUAUUUUGUUUUGGUCUAUUAUGGGCAUCCUAUAUAUAUUGAAGGCAUUAUGUUUUCUUUUUUAUUUGUAGAUUUUAAUUUUGUAGAAAUAAAUUGUCAAAAAGUUUUUUUAAGAAAAUAUAUAUCAAGUCUCUUUAAUUACAACAUAAAGAAUUUGUAUUUUUUUUUCCUUUACUAUUAGUCAGAUACUAUUACAAAGAGCAUGUGAGACGGUGUAAGAGCAUCUAGGAAUACAUUAAAAUCAUCGAUGUGAAAAAGUUAUGUAUAAUGAAGCAUCUUGAUAUUUUUUAUCAUGAAUACUUCAUGUAUGCUAUUAAUUUUUGUCAAUCCAAAAUGAUGAGAUUUCAUUAGCAUUUGAAAAAUAUAUAUUUUGUGCAAUUUUUUAAAUAAUUAAUUUUUAUCUUUUAAAUUUUCAUGUUGGAAAGUAUAACUAUGAUUUCAUUUUUGAAAACCUUUAAAGAGGUUUUUUUUUUUUAAUCCUAUCAUUGCAUUUGAUGUAUUUGUAUAUAAAGGACAACUGAUAAGAAAAGGAUUAAUGAUGAUAUGCACAACAAAAGUGAAAAUUUAUAAACAAGUCACUAUGUUAAAAAUUAUCUAUCUUUAUUUAUUUAUUUUUUGAAAUUUUCUUUGAUAAUCGAUCCUUAAGUUUGCUCAACAAUGCAAAAAAGAGUUAGGUUUUUUGAAAAUUUUCUUUUCAACAAAACUAAUUUCUAAGAAAAUAAAAUCUAUUAAUAAAAAAGAAAACCUAGUGCACACAAUAUGCCAAAACAAAACAUGUGAAAUUCUUAAUUUUGGCAAUUAGAUCCUACAUAGAAAUAGAAAAACUAAGAAAAGCAAAGUAAAUUAAUUUGUGGCACACAAAUUGUGUGUACCACAGAAAAAAAAAAAUUGGGGCAAUUUUGUGUGUGUAUGUGUGCAUGCACUCCAUAAAUUUGUGGCACUAUGUUCAAAAAAAUAAAUAAGUUUGUAGCACUAGUUUAAAUUGCACUAAAUGAUUUGGGGUAAUUUUGUCUUUUUGUUAAAAAAAAUUGGGGUGGAAAUAACACCGUCCUUUAAAAAAUUAGAAUUUUUAAUUCUUUUUCUUCUUCUAUUGUCUUUUUCUUAUUUUCUUUCUUUCUCAACCGGUUGCCAACCACAAGGUGGAAUUAGUCAUAUAAGGAGUGGAAAUAGCACUGCCCUCUUAAAAAUUGGAAUUUUUAAUUUUUUAAAUUUUUUUAUUUAUAUUUUUCUUACUUUUCUUUCUUUCUCGGCCAACCGCCAGCCACAGCAACGGUCAAGGAUCAGCCUUGGGCAAGCCUUGAGCUUACUUGCCAGAUCGACUAGCUCCAGCUAACCACUCGCCGAUUUGGCAAGGCCUAAGGCCACCGAACUCAAAUUCACCUUUGGCCAGUCACCAUGGCUGGCUAUCAAUUGAUGAAGAAGGAGGAGGAAAAGAAAAAGGUGGAAAGAAAAAUGAAAAUUUUAAAAAUAAUAAUUAAAAAUUCAAUUUUAAAAUAAAAUAUUUAUUAAAAAGAAUCCAUGGAGUAAAAUCGAAUCGAAUUUUUCAUAUCGAACGGCAAAAAAUAUUUUUUAGUUCAUUUUCAAGUUUCAAUCGAAUACCGAAAAAUAUUAUCAUUUUUUUUUCUAGAAAAUGGCUUUAUGAAAUAUAAGUUGCCAAAAGGCACUUUACAAUGGAAAAAUUACCGGUUGCUCUGUAUUCAGGGGCAGCAUAGUGAAAGGUACCCAUAAAUUGUGUCGUAACAUGUGACUUGCCCUCUGAAGGACCAGACCUCACCAGUCCAAAGUCCGUGAGUUUGGCCGUGUAAGACUGCAGAAGAACCGAACAAUAGAUUAGACUCGGGUUCCAACCUAAAUAUCAAUUGGAAACUUUUUGUGAAUCUAGCAAAAGACAAUAUGGAUAUAUUUAAAAGCAACUAGGUACAGUUUAAUGCUCUUGUGUUCUGAACUAAACAUCAAAUCUAAGAAGGAUAGAUUUGUGAUCAAUUACAGCCCUUCCAUCAAUUAAGCAGAGGGAAACGUAGGUUCUGCACUCGCUAUUAUGACUCUUUUCUCCUGGUUAGAGUACACAAUUGCAAGUGUUCAAAGUGAGAUACUAGGCAUUUCAUUGUCAUCAUUUGGAAACUUCUCCCAAGAAUUUGAUUAGAAUGAUAUGGUUCAUAUGAAUUUUAUGAUACAAGACCUUAAUCAUUAUAAGGAGGAUAAAGCAUUAACCUCAUCUAGCAAAAUAUUUGAAGAUUUGAAAUCCCUGAAUAUUAUUUGCCUCUCAAAAUUGUGCAAGAAGGCCAAGCCUCUGGCGGCCCCGACCGCGAUCUUGAGGCGUACAUCCCAUGAAAGAUGAUCUGCGGAGCCCUCUGUACCCAGAGUAAUAAACAGUGUAAAAUGUAAGUAAUUCUUAAAAGCAAAUACAUAUUAAAACAAGCUUGAAUUUUGAAAUAGGCACAUGCAUCAACUAUGACUGAACUAAUCGAGAAGAUAUGCUAAACAAAUGGCAUCCUUAAGGAGACUUAUUCUAAAUUUACAAAAUGAUUAGACCACUUACUUCUGAAUAGCUGUUUUUCCAAACUGCCCAUUGGCAUGAACUCAUAAACAAGAGCUAAAUUUCCAUCCUCUUGACAAAAUCCCAGGAGCUUGGCAAGGUUAGGGUGAGAUAGCCUUCCAAGAAAGUCUAUUUCCCUCUGCACGGAAAUAGGCAAAAGAGAGUCUCACACAUGGUCAAUAGUAAAAGAUAUGAAAGAAACGGAAGCCCCCACACCAAACCAGGCAGAUGUUUUUCUCCUUAAGCUUCAAAUGGUCAAAGAAAUGAAACAAUCACGGUGGCAUAGUUGAUAUCGAAACAAAAGGUACAUAAUCGAAACUGAGACCUAAUUCCCAAUGAAAUGUUCAGUUUAACUAGUAAUUUGACCGAAGACUCAUGGUCAUUGUGCAUCCUGUAAUAUAAAAUACAUAUCAAUAUUGGUAAAACAUACUUUAAGUCAUACCAGCUCUGUAGAAAAUAUCUAGCUCGCAUGAACCAGUAGAAGCUAUGUAGAAUCAUUGGAAUUUGUGAUAGAAAACCGUUUAUAAUUUGCGACCAAACUGAUGACUUUAUCUUGCAGUGGUGUUUCCACCCUAUAUGGUUUGAUCAACCUUGCAAUUUGUUUCAGUUCUUGAAUAUAGAAGCAAAAUUCGCUCGAAGGAAGAAGAAAACGAGUUCACUAUGAAAAGAACCGCAUUGCAUUAGUCAAAGAAGGUUAGAAAGAUGAAGUUGCCUAGGGGCUAUGAUCACAUCGAAAAGGUUAAUCAUUACACGGAUGGAAGAAUCCGAACUUAUAUUUGCGCAAUUUCUUCAUUCCUUGCCAUCGAAUCGCACUUACUAGGUUCUUCCAAUAGUUAGCAUCAUACAAGCCAAUGGCCACACACACUCACAUGGCAUGGGUUUAUUAAGUCAAUUACAAAAUAUAAGAAAUGCAAAAAGAAAGUUCAUCACCGUUAACUAAAUGGAGCCCCUAAAUAUAUUUUGCCGAGGACCUUAGUCAUCAAAUAAUCUCAAGAACAAAGCCAAAAGCGUAUUUUCAACUGUAAAUAAAUCGUCAAAAAAAAAACUGUAAAUAAAUCGUUGAUCUUUCCUUUCUAUCGGAAUGAUUGAAGCAAAAUCGCUUCUUAGAUUCUUCUUUUACUUCAUUUAAAUUCAAAUAGUGCGCAUUAUGUCCACUCAAGUGGGGGUUAGAUAACUGAAAACUUCACAAGGAUCAUGAACAUACGUUUAGGUAAUAUCACCACACAAUUAACACUACUCAGUCAGGCACCAACAAUAGUGUUGCUGCCGCCCACUGCCAUCAAUUUGCACCCUAGGUCCCUAACAAAGCCGAUAAGGCAAUCAAUGAACUCUCAGAAUUAUCUGAUCUCUCUAUAACCAAAAUUAGAGGCAAUCCUAUAAGCACCCUUUCAGAAACAAAAUUGGAAGGCAAGGCCACCGCUUAUAGGAAUCCUGGGAUAAUCAACUUCAGAUACAUUUGGAUUUGCGUUUAUAUAGCCAUAUAAAUUCAGGUUGUCUAGUAUUUCUGCUUCUGCUAUUUUCACAACGAGGAUAUUUAUUGACACAGCUGAGUUGGGCAUGACAAGUUCCCAUCAGUAAAAGUACCAAAAAAGUCAUAAACCUAUUCAUUGGUAUCAAUACAGUCCUAAAUCUUUCAAUAAAACCAAUUUGAUCAUAAACAUUUUCACAUUAGUACAAAUUCAGUCCAUCCAAUCAGUUUAGGUUGGAAAUCAGUGAUGUAGACUUCAACGAUCCUAUGUGGCAUCACCUAACGUGAACAUUUUAAAAUAAUCUUUUUACAAAAUUUUCGAUUUUUUGUUAUUUAAAAAAAAAAUCCUCUUUUCUUAUUAUUCCUUUUUUUUCCUUUCUUUGGACCGUGACCGAUACCAGCCAUGACCAACGAGUGGCCACAAGCAAGGGCUAGCAAGGGCAUCAUGGCCCUCACCGGCCACAGGCGAGGGUGAGACCCUUGCGGCCCUCGCCAAGUCUGGCAAGGGCUCAACCCUCACUGGAUCUGGCGACGGCGAGACCCUCGCAAUUUGGGCGAGGGUGGCUCUUGCCUAACUCUGUGGGGAUGAUGAGGGCUUGAUGCCCUCGUCAGCCCCCACUUGUGGCUGGUCGUUGACAAUGGCCAGUACUAGCUAUCCAAAGAAAGGAAAAAAAUUUAAAAAAAAUUGAAGAAUUAGUAAAAAAAUUAUUUUAAAAUAUCCACGUCAGCGCAGGCAAUACAUAGGAUCAUUGGUGUCCACAUCACCAAUUUCCAGCCUAAAUUGCCAGAUGAGCUGUAGGUACUAAUCUGAAAAGAUUUAUAAUUAAAUUAAUAUAAUUGAAAGGUUUGAGACUAAUUAGUACUAAUGCAAUAAAUUUAUGUCUUUUUUUAUAUUCUCCCCAGCUCCCAUCGGUACCACCAUGCAUUUGGGUUUCUUCGUUUUUGUAAUUGACAAAGCAAAGUAUUUGUAUUCCGAGAAAGGAAUUGACGACGAAAGUUAGUUCUUACCAGCCACUCUCUAUACCCUUGAGUGCCAUUCCGGUUUAAUAUUUUCACGGCUAUUAUAGUCCUUGCUUGCUUCCCAGGAAGCACUGUAGUCUCUGAACUUCCAUACGGUUGCUCCCCAGGAAGCAUCAUAGUCUCUGCAAUUCCGUACGGUUGCUUCCCAGGAAGCAUACCUUUGUAGACACGACCAAAUCCUCCCUCUCCAAGCAGUGCAUCGGCUGUAAAAUUUUCGGUCGCCGCUUUCAACUCUGCGAAACUGAAGACGGUCAAGCUGGGGCCUGCCACAAUCUUUCCAUCUCCGAAGGCCUUUUUGUCGCGGGCAGCUAGCAAGUCAUGGCUAUUGCUGGCUGCAGAAGAUGAUGAAAUACUGAUUUUCCACUUCGCUCCUGUAGUUUCAAAAAUAGAAAAACAAAGAACACAGAAAAUUGCUUCAGACGAUAACAAGAAGAACAUUAACGACUCCAAUCUGAAGCACAAAGAUUCAUUUUAAAGAGACUACAUAGAUGUAAAGAUAAACAUCACUCUAGGAAAAAAUUUGAAGGUUACCAGAUUUGAGAUGGCCAGCAUAGCUUGGAGUAGGGAAGUCAGGAGUACCGAAGCACACCCCCAUAUCUCUCUAUCUCUCUCUCUUUUAAAGGAACCUAUGAUGCUCGGACACGUUGCCGGAGCUUCCAUGUCAUAUCCGACACGUGUUGACGUGUCAGACACGUGGUCAAUUCUUCUCAACACGUUCCAACACGCGUGUCCAAGACAGAGAAUCGUUGAAGAAGACCAUGGAGGGUGAAGGCGAGGUCGAGGGAGCAGAGGCGAGGCCACGAGUGACGGCGAGGGAGUGGCAUAGGAAGAGCAGAGACCAAGCCACGACUGCAAUGGAAGGCCAGCAGCAAGGCUGCGGGUGCAAAGGAAGAACAGCUAGAGGGCUAGAGGCAAGGCAACGAGCGAUUGUGACGAGCCGACCGAGAGAGAGCAGAGAUCAAGAGGGAGAGGGUCGUGCGAGGAAGAGGAGGAGGAGGCAGCAGCUAGGGAGGGAUGAAACUAAAAAAAAUAAAAAUGGGAUUUGAUGGGACUUUGGCGAUCCUUUCUUUAUGAAGGAAGGGGAGGUGCCAUGGACGAGAGGGCGUUUAAUUUUCAAGAAAGAAGUGACAAGUUGGGAAAGGGGGAAAAGAAACGAGGAAAGUGAAAUUUGGGGGUGGGUGUUGGGGGUGGACCCGGAGGACUUUUUUAUUAGAAAAAUAAAUAAAGAAUGUUAUAAAAUCAUUUUGAAAAAUAAAAGUAUUGAAUGUUAAAUAAUUAUAAAAAAUUAUAGAUUUAUUUAAAUAAGUUAAUUUGAAUUUCUUGUUAAUUAUUAGUUUCAUCAAUAAUUUUUAUUGGAGUUAGAAAUAUGUUCUAAACAUGGAUAUGCAUUAAUUAUGAAUGUCUUUCCAAUUUCCUAUAAAUAGAUUUAUUAAUAUUAUUAAUGUAAAUUUAUUCUAUGCUCUUUUCAUUAUUUAUUUAAUUGUAAAUUUAAAUCAAAUUAAUUAAAAAUUAAAAUAUUUAUUUAAUAUAUAACGUAUUUUAACGUAUCAAAAUUCUCUAUUUUUGAGAAAUCGUGUCAUGUCACGCGUAUUUAGACAGGAACUAUUAUCUUUCCUCCUCCUUGCCUUUACCCAGUCUUACUUCCUCGGGAGAAAAGGCAAUCGACUUUCUUCCGUUUAGACAUGUCAAACCACCCAAAAUGCACUUAAUGCUGAUAUGAAUGUGUAGCUUCUUCUCAAGCAGUAGCGUAUGGAAUGCCUCACCCGAUCAAUGAUGAAAUUAGAAACUUCUGGCCCGUCAUUCAUUCAGCAGAAAAUCAAACCUGGCUCCGCACACGCUUUUCACACUAGCUGAUUUUCUUAUUUUUCCAUAGCAGAUCACACAAAUUUCCAAUGCAUUCCAUAUUGACUUUCGCUGGACUUUUACGGACAGGAAACAAUAAAAGGAGAGAGAAAAAGAAAGUUCGUCAAUGAGGCACAAAAAAUUAGAUCCCUCUAAGUUAAAAAUCCCACGUUUGGCCAUGUAUGUGCUUUGAUAAUCAUUGACUUUUCUCAAAAUUUGAUUAUACAUGAUAGAAAGAAGAACUAUGAAAAAUUGCAAACUCGCUUUUAAUAGUUUUUGACAGUUUCGUAACAAAAUCCUUUAGAAAAGUAAUGAGAGCACGCAACAAAUGAGGUUUAGAUCCCUAACUUUACCUUACACUGCUUCCUCUUCUUUUCAGCAAGUCGUCUGCCCAGCUAACGUCGGAAUAAAAGGUCGAUCCUUUUUCAUCAGAGUCAAUCAAUUUGGAAAGAUGAUGUCCAAUUCCAUUUGGUGGAGAUGUCAAUGUCUAUGGAAGGGUUUUGCACCGCAUUUUGUGUUAAUUCUGUUCUCCGAGGCAUCUUGCUUUGCAAUCCAAAAAUCGAGUAACGAGUUUUUCAUGGAAGUAGUUUGCUGUCAGCUUAGCUGUCAAUAGUCCUAUAAAGCCAAGGGGGAAAUUGAUUCCAUUAUCUGCUUUCGUGCGGUUCAGUCAGGUUUUUUCUUUCUUGCGGUGUAUUCAUCCAUUCACAAACAUUCCCGAAGCAGCAGUACGAAAUGAUAUAGUAUUAUUAGGCCCAAAAGAAAUUAUUUCAUUUCCAAGACACAAUCAAUUUCCUUUCCCAAUUUUAUAGACGGCAAGAUAUUAAGGGAAGACCAGCUCUGAUCUGAGGUUCCCGCAAAACAUUCGGACAGCUUGGCUGAGCAGCUUUCUUAACCGCCGACGUGCAGGUGACGGGCUUUUCUCUGAACGCCGUACGAAUCUAACACCUUCGAAACGUACGUCCUUUGUAAAUCUUUGGUCACUACGCUUGACUUUCGAAGCUUUAGACCUGGACAGCUACCACACAAAAAAGCCACUUCCAGGUACGCUGCUAGAUUGAUAGAAAGCAAGUUUCAAGCCACAAUUUUCUCAAAGCCUACAUGAUUCCCUGCAAUUAGCCAGGGACCCUUAAAAAGUACCGUCAUUGGCCCUUAAUUCCAAAAUGCACUCUCAGAAGCUCGAAAUCCGCCAGGCAAAGAUGAUGUGAUUAAGCUGAGCUUUUUCUUUCAUCAUGACAUAGAAAGCUGUCUUGAUCAACAUUGCCCGAACCACCUGUUUUAAAUUGAAUAAAAAUGCAGAGCUGAGCCUAGGAAUUAUCAUCAGCCAUGCACUGGUGUGGUCAAAAAGAAAUUGCAGGAGAAACCGAAUGCUAAAUUCAUGAACUCAAAAUUGAACACACUAAGGGAGUACGAUGUCAUGCACAUACCUACUAAGUUGUUAGACGACCAAUAAGCUUGAUGGAAAAGCAAGGUUAUAAUUCAAAACUAUCCUUAACAAAGAAUGGAAUGUGCCUAUCGAGCUUAGCUGACACCCCUUUCAGAUACACAACAGCAUUAAUUGGACAACCCUGCUUAAUACCCACGGUUGGCCCCAUAGACCGAGCCAUAAAUAAUUGAGUGAUGGAUUUAACUUUUGAGUCAACCCAGUCAGUCUAGUUUUCAAUCGUAAUAAAAGAUUCUGAUGAUAAGAAUUGUGAAUCAAAUCGAUCCUUCAUGGUGGAAACAAACCAAUUCAAUUAGUGGGUCUAUUUUAAACUCCCCCAAAAAAGUUAAUAAGUCCGUUAGCUCUAGAGGGAGAUUUGUACUAAAAAAGAAUAAAUUAUUAGUGUUACUUAACAUUUCAUCCUCACUGGUAUAAGUUUCAAUGGCACAUAUGAUAUUAUCCAAUAGUUCAUAUUCAACAGAGAAGAUGGAUUCGAGAUCAUCAUCAUUAAGACAAAUUUCAAUUUUUUUCUCAAAUUUCUGAAUUAUCUCAACACACUUAUUUUUCUUAAGCCAUCUCAAGACAAAUAACCAACCUGUCUCCCUCCCCUCUCUUUCAUAAGUACUCUCCACAAGAGUUAAAUUCUCAAUAAAUUCAGCCCCUCCAAAAAUUUGAAUCCACAGUCACUUUUCCUGCGUGAGCGAAAUGAAAGAAGGAGGGAAAACAAUUCAAAAGCACUCAUCUAGGCUACGCAUGACAACGCUUUUUAGUUGGGGAAAAGUUUUUUUUUUUUUCAGAAAUAGUUCUUUUUUAUUUCUAUUCCGGGGAAUAAUUUCUGAGUAAAAGAACAUGUUUGGUAACUACACAAAAUUUCUAUUCUUGGAAUAGAAAAAGAAUAGAAAUGCGUUUGAUAAUGCAACAGUUUCUUUUUUGUAUUUAUUCAUUUUUUAUUCUUGGGCAGCGACCGGCAGCGGCGGGCGGUGGGCGACCGGCAGCGGUGGCAACCGGCGACGGCGGCCGGCAACGGUGGUCGGUAGUGAGUGGUGGCUCCGAGCGGUUGAAAGUGGCCGUGGCAAGAGAGAGAAAUAAAAGAAAAAUAAAAAAGAAAAUUAGCUUAUUUCUAAAAAUUGUUCCCGAGAACAAGAAGCAACUUUUUUUUGCUUCUCGUUUCUGCUCCAAAUCUAUUCCUAGGCUAACUUUCUAUUCCCGGGAAUAGAAAAACAACUUGGCGUCACGGGUUUCUGUUCUUUUCAAAAUAACAGAAAUUCUAAGGAACAAAGACGUUGUCAUGCAGUGCCCAAACCCCCCCCUAAUGCCCCCCUCUAUUCCAAAGUAAAAUUUUGUCUUCCCUACUUAGGAUGGAAUUCUCCUAAAUUUUAGUCUUAGAGUUUAAAUAAAGCAGUUUAAGAGAGUACUCAGAUCCACCUGUCCCAUCUCCAUCUCUCUCUUUUUUUUCUUAAUUUGUAAGAUUCCUUUUGAGAAACGGCACUAAAUGCUGCUCUAGGUUUUUCACUUGUGAUGAUGGAAAAGCUUCCGCCUAACUUUCAACUCUCUCUCUCGCUCGCUCGCUCACGUCCCCAGACCAGAUCAAAGAUACCCUUCAAAAGCACUCGUCCUCUUACCCAGGUUCAUCCGCCCCUAACUCUUUCCUCAUUUUACUCUCUUCCCAUCACUCAUAAUGCUCCUCCUCAUCCGCCUUGCCAUUUAUCGCUACCACCAUCAACCUUCCGAGGCAUCCGAAGGGUUGGCUUCUGGCACGCGCGCACCUUAGCAGGAGUAGUGCUGGUGACUAGCUCCCUCUGGACUUCACUUCGUCCAUUUCCACAUGAAGUAAAAAAAACCACACGCUAGCAAGCAUUAUAUGGUCCUUACAAAAAAUUCUUGGAUUAUGUUCGAGAUUUUUACUAGGUCCGUAUUUUUUCUAUAAAUUAUGUCCUUUAUCAGUGUAAAGCAAUUUCUACACAUUGGGCGUUGGAUAGGGCAACAUGUGUAAUAAUGCAAUUUGAUAUUUAUCCAUGUAUUUUCAUACAUAUAAGUGCCGCGGAAUCGGGGGAGAACAAAUAUUUGAACUCUCAAUAAGUAUGUUCUGGGGAGACAUUACCAAACGUCCAAACUAAGGCUAAGAUUUUUCAGCACAAUUUUCAGCACAUUUAUUAGCCACUUUCUAAAAUAAUACUUUACAAUAUUCGUAGUAGCCACGCUCAAACAAUUUACGGACAUACUGUGCUCAAGACGAUCAGCACAUCACAUCAACUUCUUUAUUUUAUAGAAGGGCUUCUUCACCCUUUUCUUUUUUAUAUGGCCCGGACAAAUUCAUCUUGCCAAAAAAAAAAAAAAACAAAUAUAACUCUAUGGAUGGGCUGAGGUACAAAAAACUAGCAAUGCCAUCUUUCAUUAUAUCUUUCAUAUAAAUGGUGAUUGAUUGCAGCGCACCAUGUGAAACCCAGCGUAAAACGUAAGCUUAUUUGCUUAAUCUCCGCUAAAAAGGUUCAAAAAAUUGGUCCCCCACUGUCUCUCCUUUUUGACUGNNNNNNNNNNNNNNNNNNNNNNNNNNNNNNNNNNNNNNNNNNNNNNNNNNNNNNNNNNNNNNNNNNNNNNNNNNNNNNNNNNNNNNNNNNNNNNNNNNNNUGACACCCCUAGGGAGAUUCUAUUGAGAAACGGCACAGUGCCAUGCUUCUAUAGCAUUCCACUUGUCAUGAUGAAAAGCUUCAACCCAACUCUCGCUCAAUCAUGUCACCAGAGCAGCUCCAACUUACCCUUCAAAAGCACUCUCUCACGAGAAGUACCUAAACUUCAUCCCACCUCUCCCGAGCAACACCGACACGUGAUAUGAACACGCGACACAAUAUGAUACAACAUGUCCAUACAUCAUUUCUCGAAAAUAAAAAAUUUCAACACGUUAAAACACGUUAUAUAUUAAAUAAAUAUUUUUAUUUUUAAUUAGUUUGAUUCAAAUUUACAAAUAAAUAAAUAAUAAUAAAAGAGCUUACACUAAUAAUAUUUUCUUUUUUUUUUGGUAAAGGGUCCAUUAGUAGGAAAUUCGAAAGACAUGUUCAUAGUUAAUAUGUAUUCAUGUUUGGGAACAUGUUUCUAACUUUAAUAAAAAUUAUCGAUGAAAUUAAUGGCUAAUAAAAUAUUAGAAUAACUUAUUUAAAUAAAUCUAUCAUCUUCUAUAAUGAUCAAAAUUUAUUAUUAUUUAAUAUUUAGUAUUUUUAUUUUUCGAAAUCACUUUUUAGCCCCACUUAUUUUUUUUUUUGACCAAAAAAAAAGCCCCGCUGUCCAAAAAUUAUUUCCCUCUCUUUUUAUUUUUCGAAAUAACUUUCUGCCUUGCCUGCUUCACAGCCGCAAUCUCGCCUCCGGCCCUCUAUCACGGCAUCACAAUCGCAGCCCUCCUAAUCGCCUCGGUCUCUGCUCUUCCACUGGCCCUUCUUGCAGUCGCAAACUCGCCAUCACUUGUGGCCUCACCUCCACUCCCUCGCCCUUGCCUCCACCCUCCAUCACCUUCUUUAAUGAUUCUCUCUCCCAUUGCACUUACAAACCUACCCUAGAAACCACCAUGCCUCUCGCAAUUGUGAACACGCAUGUUGGAAUGUGUCAAAAAGAGUUGACCACGCGUCUGUAACAUCCCGGGUCUCACUGUGUGAUAUUAUCCGCUUUGGACACUGAGUCCUCACGGCUUUAAAACGCGUCACACAUAUUAAGGGACCCAAGUCAUUAUAAAUUGGCCCAAGACUCUCUCCCUAGGCGAUGUGGGACAAGGACCCCUUCCUUGCGCACGUCCGGGGACCGAGGCGCGGACGCACCGCCAUCCCUCCUCCCCACGCACCGCCGCUCGGGCCGUCACACUCUCCCCCCUUGGGAGCACAGCGCCCUCGCUGUGGCCCCACACGCGGUCGGGAGUCGGCUCUGAUACCAUUGUAACAUCCCGGGUCUCACUGUGUGAUAUUGUCCGCUUUGGACACUGAGUCAUCACGGCUUUAAAACGCGUCACACAUAUUAAGGGACCCAAGCCAUUAUAAAUUGGCCCAAGACUCUCUCCCUAGGCGAUGUGGGACAGGGCCCCCUUCCUUGCGCACGUCCGGGGACCGAGGCGCGGACGCACCGCCAUCCCUCCUCCCCACGCACCGCCGCUCGGGCCGUCACAGCGUCAAAAAUCCAACACAUAUUGGCCGCAUGUCCGAACUUGUCCGAACGUGUCCAACAUGCUCGAUUACGUGUUAGGGUGUCAGAGAACACGUAAAACGUGUCCAUGUUUCAUAGCACCUAACUUCUUCCUUUGCUUUUCCUCUCUUCCCAUCACUCCAUAUUCCUCCUCCUCCUCCUCCUUCAUUGCCAUUAUAAGGUCGGCUUCUGGCACACUCGCUUUAGCAGGAGCAGCACAGGUAAUUAGCUCCCUCCGGAACUGGCGUUCGACGCUAAUUUAAGACCAGCUCAAUCACCCCAGUCCAAGACAGUGCAACAGGGACCAAGAGAGGGAAAAUGUUGGCUCAGAGUAUCAUCUCUGUAUUCGCAAUAUAGAUGCGACCCACAGGGGAUGUGGUAAGACAGAAAGAUCUCAAACUUGGAGUUGGAGAUCACAUCUAGACUUAUCGGCUGUAUGGCCUAUACACCCAUCAUGGUUAGUGUUUCAUCCUCUUCUUCCUUUUCCUAUUAAUCGUUAUCAUUUUUCUUGAACAUGUAUAUCUUCAUAUGUGGCUCGAUUGAAUUUUCCUUUAUUAUCCUAUGUUUUUGGCCCAAGAACAGUAUUUGCAUAGCCUCAGAGAUAAAGACUCUCCUCCACCACCGUCGCACGUUCCGGCCGCUCCCCUCCGGCGGCCCCAUUGUCGAACCCUCUUCUCAGCUUUUCAGGAGUUCGACGAAAUGCCAGAGAGAGAACCUGACUGACCUGUGCUUCAUUUCUUUCUUUCCGGUCGCCGAUCCAUUUCAAGCUUCGCCGUUAUACUUCUCAGCAGUUCCAGCUUCGACCGUCUUCAUCUCCAGCGAAUCUCCAUCGUAGACUCUCCGCUUCGCGACUUCGUUUGUGUUGACGAGGUGUUCGACAAAAUGCCGGAAAGAUGGUAAGAUUGAAGUUCUCCUCCAGUCCGCAGCGCCACCAUUCCUUCUGGUAGCUGUUAUGGUCCAGGUUUUCAAGGGCGUCAACCCAGCAUCUUCCCCCCACUGCCGACAACGAUCCAUCACGCAGGACAUAGAUCCAGCAAUGCAGCAUCGGAUAGCAAGUACGCCCAAGUUGUCGUCAUCAGGAAACAAGCUUGUCGCAGUUCCUCCCCUUGAGGCUUUAGUCGAGGGUAAAAUACAUUUGAAAGUUGUCUUGUUGGAUAUUUCCUUGCUACCAAUGCAUCAUUCUACUUAGUGAAAGGUAUUGUGGAGAAAUUGCGGUGAUUCUACAGUAACUAUUUAGUACAUGUGGAAUGAUUUGGACAAUCGAUUCUUUUUCUAUAUUGCAAAUAUUCAUUAUUGAUUAUAACAGGAAUCUACGUUGGAGAGGGCAAGGUGAUUUACUUAACACGAACAGGAGUUGAGGAGAUGAGUAUCCAUCACUUCCAUCAAGAAGGCAAGAAACUCUAUUCCCUCCGUUUAUAUGCAUAUGGGCGGCCACAACUUGGGUAUUGGCUCUCGAAAUGGGGGACUUGCACCAGCUUACCCAAAACCAAAUCGCCCCAGGAAGUCGUGAACAAGGCUCGCGAGCUUCAUGAGCACGAUAGUUUUGGCAAGUACGACCUCAUCAAUAGCAACUGUGAGCAUUUCGCCUCGUUUUGCUGGGCCAGCAUUCAGGCAAGCACACAGACAGCAUUGGUCAGUGCUUGUCUGUAGAAGACCAGUGAAGUCAAAGAAUGGCUCAUGAAGUUUCUGCGGACAAAGUAAGUUCGAGUGACUCAAAAUUCCACGAAUCCUUCCUUCCCUGUCUUUUUACUAGCAACUAUUUUCAUCUGUUUGGGAGUCAUUGUCUGUCAUCCAGCAGUAAAACGAAUGAAACUUUAGUUUUGUAUAUCCACUUCUGGACUGGAGUGGGCAGUGAGAGACAUGCACACGUGCACGGAGGAAGAACUGAGAUAAGAAAUUGUAUGUAAGCCGCAAAGCUAUGUUCAUUGUUAUUUGAUGUGCCCAGAAAUAUGUAAGGACUUCUGUCUGUUGGUGCUCGGUCGUCCUAGUUAGACUUGCCAAAAGAAGGUAACAUCUAAUCCUGAAUGAAUUUUUCACAUUCAAAUCAAUUCACUUUGGUGCAUGUUGGAUACAUUCUUUGGGCAUUCGAGAAAUAAUUGGAGAAACAAAACAACAGUGAAAUCGCACUAGACUAUCAAAAGAGUUUGUUCCACAAGUGCACAAUUUUUUCCUUCUCAGCGACCUCUCUCUCUCGACAAUAUUGUCAUAUAUUUUGUUGUUCUUGCUCGGCCACCAUUGUCAUUUACUUUAAAGCAUGAAAUGAAUGACCUUGUUUUUCUUCACGGUGAUCUCUCUCUCUCUUGACAACAAGGUUCCAAUUAUAUAAUAUGAAUUGGGUGGCCACAUGUAGCAGAGGGUUUAAGUUAGAUUGGUGCGCUGUUGACGUGGUCUGCACCGUUAACAAAGACGCUCUAGCAGAUUUACUUCUAUCCUUCCUGUAAAAGUUGGACAAAAAGAAAAGUUUGAAUCGGUCCUACUUGGUGGCUUUAUACUAAAAAUAAAAUAAAAUAAAAAGGGAGAAACUGCCUCAAUUAAUGAGCUAUCUCUUCACUUCACACACAUAAAUAGCACCUGUAGCAUAGCGCAAGUGCCAACGAGUUCUAUAACGUUACUGAGCAGUCAUUCUGUUCAUAGCUGAUAGCGAAAGCCUCCAAAUUAAGUUCCAUCAAUUAAGAAGUACAACUUCAAGCGCACUCUAUCUAAAUGAAGCUAUCGAGAAAAUGUCUGAAGUUCUUUUCUGAGAAGGGCAUAAGGAAGGUUAUCUCUUUUAUGUUGCACAUACUCAUUAUUGAUUACAACAGGAAUCUACAUUGGAGAAGGCUAUGUGAUUAACUUCACAUGAACAAGAGUUGACAAGAGGAGCGUUGAUUGCUUCUGGCAAUAAGGCAAGAACCUCUAUUCCCUCCGCUUAUGUGUAUAUGGGCGGCCACAACUUGGGUAUUGGCUGACAAGAUGGGGUACUUGCACCACCCAGGGAGGCAUGAACAAGGCUUGCGAGCUUCAUGAGCACGGUAGUUUCAGCAAGUACAACCUCAUCAAUAACAACUAUGCGCAUUUCACCUUGUUUUGGCAGACCGGCAUACAGGCAAGCGCACGGACAGCAUUGGUCAGUGCUUCUCUGCAGAAGAUCAGUGAAGUCGAAGAAUGGUUCAUGAAGUUUCUUCAGAUGAAUUAAGUUCAAGUGACCCAAAAAUUCCACGAAUCUUCCCUUCCCAAUCUGUCUUUUUACUAGCAAUUAUAUUCAUCUGUUUGAGAGUCAUUGUCUGUCAUCCAGCAGUAAAAGGAAUGGAACUUUAGUUUUGUAUAUCAAGUUUGGACUGGAAUGGGCGCAAGAGACAUGCAGGUGUGCGCGGAGGAAGAACUGAGAUAAGCAAAUGUAUGUGAGCCGCAAACCUAUGUUCAUUAUUAUUUGAUGUGCCCAGAAAUAUGUAAGGACUUAUGUCAUGUUGGUGCUCGGUUCUCCUAGUUAGACUUGCCAAAAGAAGGUAACAUCUAAUCCUGAAUGAAUUUCGCAUUAAAAUCACUUCAAUUUGGUGCAUAUUGGAUACAUUCUUUUGGCAUUCGAGAAACAAUUGGAGAAACGAGACAACAAUGAAAUCGCACUAGACUAUCAAAAAGAGUUUGUUCCACAAGUACUCAAUAAUUUCCUUCUCAGCAAACUCUCUCUCAACAAUAUUUGACAUUUAUUUUGUUGUUUCUUGUAGCAUAGAACGUUACAGAGAAGUCAUUCUGUUCAUCUCUUUUAACGAAGACAGCUGAUAGCCAAAACCUCCAAAUCAAGCUGUAUCAAGUUUGGAAGUAAAACUUCAAGCACACUCUACCUAAAUGAAGCUAUCAAGAAAUUGUCUGAAGUUCUUUUCUGAGAAGGGCAUAAGGAAGGUUCUCUCUUUUACCUCAAACUGUUUACAAGAAUGAAAAACCAAUCCGAAGGAUUUUAGUCAUUAUGUGCAAAAUGUUUUUGCUUCAUUCAGAUAACCUGGCAGAAUGGUUAUUCCUAAGGACAAGGCGCAUCGUAAGAUAAGUCAAGCAGGAAGGUACUUUUUUUAGCACAAAGCCACAUAUAUGGAGUUCACUCCGAACCCAUUUCUCAAAUUUAUAUAUCACAAUCCACAAAGCAAUGCGGGCUGCUAUUUGCUAUGAAAAUUUGAACAUGUAGUCGAUGCUUAUUUGAUCGAAUAGGCCAAAUGAGUUUCACAUGGGAAGGAUACUGAAUAGUGUGACCAAUGACUGCUCUGUUCAUGCAAGCAGACAAAUUCCCUGCUGGUGAACAAAUCGAUCAUGCAUGGUGCCUUCAAGACUUUUUGAUCACAUCACAUGAAGUACGAACAACAUAAUAAAUAAAUUCAAGCAUUUAAUAUUCUGUUAGCACUGGCAGCUUCUAUUGAUUCCAAUUCUUUCACGAAUUUAGUCAUGGAAGGCCGAAACCUAGGAGUCUCUUCAACGCAUUUUGAGGCAAGCUUUGCUACUUGGAAUGCAGAACAUCUAUUAUAUUUGCCCUUCAAUCUGGAGUCCGUUAUAGUCCACAGUUUGUUUUUACUGGAUAAGAAUGGUCCAGCCCACUCUACUAAAUUAGCUUUGCCUCGUGGACGUCUCCAAUCAAAUGCCCUCAAGCCUAUUAGUAUCUCAAGCAGCACGAUACCGAAACUGUAAACGUCACUCUUUACACAUAGACGCCCUGUAAAAUCCAAGAGUUUUAUGUGAUGUUGCAGUGAAACAUUAGAAAAUAACUUCCUGAUAUUAUUGUCAAAAUUCAAGACUAAAUUUUUUUCCACACUAAGGCUCCAUUUUUGCUAAAAACAAUUUUCUGGAAAAAGUUUUCCGGAUUUUCCGGUACUAAUUUCGUAGAAAAUUAACUAAUUGAGAGAAACAUUUUCCAUCAACGAAAAAAAUCUUUUAAAAUAGAGAAAAAUGUUUUCCUCUUUUCAAGUAGGGGAAGACAUUUUUCUCACCCAUUCUCUAUUAUCUCACACUCUUGCUAGCCCUCACUUUUUUCUCUUAUUUCUUUUUUAAAAACGGCAAUGCUAUUUCCACUCCAUCUAUGACUAAAUCCACCCCAUUUUCACCAAGGAAACAAGAUUUCCCUUGAUCAUUUACUUGCAAUUUAAAGUGGUGGUCCCAUUUCUUUUUUUCUUUUUUUCUUUUAUUUUCACCUCCAUCUAGAAUCCAAUUGCCAUAAUUAAGCAUUUUACAUAUUUUUUUUUUGGUCUAUUAUGGGCAUCCUAUAUAUUUUUUAAGAAAAUAUAUAUCAAGUCUCUUUAAUUACAACAUAAAGAAUUUGUAUUUUUUUCUUUACUAUUAGUCAGAUACUACCACAAAGAGCAUGUGAGACAUUGUAAGAGCAUCUAGGAAUAUGCUAAAAUCAUCGAUGUGAAAAAGUUAUGUAUAAUGAGGUAUUUAAUUUUUUUUUUAUUGUGAAUACUUCAUGUAUGCUAUUAAUUUUUGUCAAUCCAAAAUGAUGAGAUUUCAUAAGAAUUUAUAUAUAUAUUGCAAUUUUUUAAAUAGUUAAUUUUUAUCUUUUAAAUUUUCAUGUUGGAAAGUAUAACUAUGAUUUCAUUUUCAAAAACCUUUAAAGAGGUUUUUCUUUUUCUUAUUAAUCCUUUCAUUGCAUUUGAUGUAUUUGUAUAUAAAGGACAACUGAUAAGAAAAGGAUUAAUGAUGAUAUGCACAACAAAAGUGAAAAUUUAUAAACAAGUCACUGUGUUAAAAAUUAUCUAUCUAAAUUUAUUUAUUUUUUUGAAAAUUUCUUUGAUAAUCAAUCCUUAAGUUUGCUGAAUAAUGCAAAAAAGAGUUAGGUUUUUUUGAAAAUUUUUAUUUCAACAAAACUAAUUUCUACAAAAAUAAAAUCUAUCAAUAAAAAAGAAAACCUAGUGCACACAAUAUGUCAAAACAAAACAUGUGAAAUUCUUAAUUUUGUCAAUUAGAUCCUACAUAGAAAUAGAAAAACUAAGAAAAGCAAAGUAAAUUAAUUUGUGGCACACAAAUUGUGUGUGUACCACAGAAAAAAAAAAAUGGGGCAAUCUUGUGUGUGUGUGUACGCACUCCAUAAAUUUGUGGCACUAUGUUCAAAAAAAUAAAAAAAUUUGCGGCACUAGUUUUUUUUUUUUUGGUCCAAUUCCUUUUAAUUUGCAGCACUAGUUUAAGUUGCAAUAAAUGAUUUGGGGCAAUUUUGUCUUUUUGUAAAAAAAAUGGGGUGAAUCGAUCUAGUCAAAGAUAGAUUUUAAUUCUUUUCUCUUUUCUUUUUUCUUCUUCUCACCGGCUGCCGACCACAAGGUGGAUUUAGUCAUAUAAGGAGUGGAAAUAGCACUGCCCUCUUAAAAUUAGACUUUUAAUUUUUUUAUUUUCUUUUUAUAUUUUCUUUUUUUUUCUUCUUUCUCGACCAACUGCCAACCACAGCAACGGUCGAGGAUCAGCCUUGGGCGAGCCUUGAGCUUGCUCACCAAAUCAACGAGCUCAAGCUGGCCACUCGCCGAUUUGGCAAGGCCUAAGGCCACCGAGCUCAAAGUCGCCUUUGGCCAGUCACCAUGGCUGGCUAUUAAUUGAAGAAGAAGGAGGAGGAAAAGAAAAAAGUGGAAAGAAAAAUGAAAAUUUUAAAAAUAAUAAUUAAAAAUUCAAUUUUAAAAUAAAAUAUUUAUUAAAAAGAGUCCAUGGAGUAAAAUUGAAUCGAAUUUUUCAUAUCGAACGGCAAAAAAUGUUAUUUAGUUUAUUUUCAAGUUUCAAUCGAAUACCAAAAAAUAUUAUCAUUAUUUUCUAGAAAAUGGCAUUAUGAAAUAUAAGUUGCCAAAAGGCACUUUACAAUGGAAAAAUUACCGGUUGCUCUGUAUUUAGGGGCAGCAUAGUGAAAGGUACCCAUAAACUGUGUCGUAACAUGUGACUUGCUCUCUGAAGGACCAGACCUCACCAAUCCAAAGUCCAUGAGUUUGGCCGUGUAAGACUGCAGAAGAACUUAACAAUAGAUUAGACUCGGGUUCCAACCUAAAUAUCAAUUGGAAACUUUUUGUGAAUCUAGCAAAAGACAAUAUGGAAAUAUUUAAAAGCAACUAGGGACAGUUUAAUGGUCUUGUGUUAUGAACUAAACAUCAAAUCUAAGAAGGAUAGAUUUGUGAUCAAUUACAACCCUUCCAUCAAUUAAGCAGAGGGAAACAUAGGCUCUUCACUCCUACCAUGACUCUUUUCUCCUGGUUAGAGUACACAAUUGCAAGUGUUCAAAGUGAGAUACUAGGCAUUUCAUUAUCGUCAUUAUACUUCUCCCAAGAAUUUGACUAGAAUGAUAUGGUUCAUGUGAAUUUUAUGAUACAAGACCUUAAUCAUCAUAAGGAGGAUAAAGUAUUCACCCCAUCUAGCAAAAUAUUUGAAGAUUUGAAAUCCCUGAAUAUUAUUUGCCUCUCAAAAUUGUGCAAGAAGGCCAAGCCUCUGGUAGCCCCGACUGCGAUCUUGAGGCAUACAUUCCAUGAGAGAUGAUCUGUAGAGCCCUCUGUAACCAGAAUAAUAAACAGUAUAAAAUGUAAGUAAUUCUUAAAAGCAAAUACAUGUUAAAACUAGCUUAAAUUUUGAAAUAGGCACAUGCAUCAACUAUGACUAUGACCUAAUCGAGAAGAUAUGCUAAACAAUUGGCAUUCUUAAGGAGACCUUUUCUAGAUUUACAAAAUGAUUAGACCACUUACUUUUGAAUAGAUGUUUUCCCAAACUGCCCAUCGGCGUGAACUCAUAAACAAGAGCUAAAUUUUCAUCCUCUUGACAAAAUCCCAGGAGUGUGGCAAGGUUAGGGUGAGAUGCCUUCCAAGAAAGUCUAUUUCCCUCUGCAUGGAAAUAAGCGAAAGAGAGUCUCACACAUGGUCAAUAAUAAAAGAUAUGAAAGAAAUGGAAGCCCCCACACUAAACCAGGCAGAUGUUUUUCUCCUUAAGCUUCAAAUGGUCAAAGAAAUGAAACAAUUACAAUGGAAUAGUUGAUAUCGAAACAAAAGGUACAUAAUGGGAACUGAGACCUAAUUUCCAAUGAAAUGUUCAGUUUAACUAGUAGUUUGACUGAAGACUCAUGGUCAUUGUGCAUCCUGUAAUAUAAAAUACAUAUCAAUAUUGGUAAAAUGUAUUUUAAGUCAUACCAGCUCUGUAGAAAAUAUCUAGCUCGCAUGAACCAGUAGUAGCUAUGUAGAAUCAUUGGAAUUUGUGAUAGAAAACCGUGUAUAAUUUGCGACCAAACUGAUGUAUUUAUCUUGCAGUGGUGUGUCCACCCUAUAUGGUUUGAUCAACCUUGCAAUUUGUUUCAGUUCUUGAAUAUAGAAGCAGAAUUCACUCGAAGGAAGAAGAAAACGAGUUCACUAUGAAAAGAACCGCAUUGCAUUAGUCAACGAAGGUUAGAAAGAUGAAGUUGCCUAGGGGCUAUGAUCACAUCGAAAAGGUUGAUCAUUCCAUGGAUGGAAGACUCUGAACUUAUAUUUGCGCAAUUCCUUCAUUCCUUGCAAUCGAAUCGCACUUACUAGGUUCUUCCAAUAGUUAGCAUCAUACAAGCCAAUGGCCACACACACAAACGGCAUGGGUUUACUAAGUCAAUUACAAAAUAUAAGAAAUGCAAAAAGAAAGUUCAUCACCGCUAACUAAAUGGAGCCCUAAUAUAUAUUUUGCCGAGGACCAUAGUCACCAAAUAAUCUCAAGAACAAAACCAAAAGCGCAUUUUCAAUUGUAAAUAAAUCGUUGAUCUUUCCUUUCUAUCGGAAUGAUUGAAGCAAAAUCGCUUCUUAGAUUCUUCUUUUACUUCAUUUAAAUUCAAAUAAUGCGCAUUAUGUCCACUCAAAAGCGGGGUUAGAUAACUGAAAACUUCACGAGGAUCGUAAACAUAUUUAGGUAAUAUCACCACACAAUUAACACUACUUAGUCAAGCACCAACAAUAGUGUUGCUACCGCCCACUGCCAUCAAUUUGCACCCUAACAAUGAUCGGGAGUGAUUAUAUAUGUUCCGCUUGCGUUUAAUUGAAAGAUAGAAAGAACGAGUCAGCAAUAAAUCCUAGAACAUCACAAGUUUAUGGACUAUUGAGGGAUGCUCGUGCGCUCGGUGGUUCAGGGUGUGGCAAUCUUCUUCCACCAGCAAUUUUUCUCGCUGCAUAGCACAGUGCAGUGUCCUUGUCCGAAUUUGCCAUUGGAAGAAUCUCUUUGCAUGCAUCAACUUGUCCUUAUUCAAAAACCCAAUGCAGUCGAUUUGCAAACUAAACGGAGAGUUGUUUCGAAGCAUCUUACUUCAACAGCAAAGUGUAGGGGAGUGUCUCUUCUGUAGUUGCUUUACUAGAGAAGGAAUGGUCCUGAUGGACAUUGAAUGUAAGGUAUGAUUAUAAAAAGAGGAAGAAGUCGAGCUCCAAAAAAAAUGCCCGUUGCUACCAUAGGAGUGGCAUGUAUAAGAGUCAAAAUAGGAGUAGGGCCUUCCAUGGCAUCAAGCUACCAUACAUGAAGGAGGCAUUGUCCCAAUUCCGCAAUUGCACCUACAAAUUAAAGAAAGGCACAUAAAGUAAAAAAUUAAAAAAGAACCUCAUUAUUAUAAAUCAAGUUAUUGAAUAUUUGAAACAAAUCCCUUUUUAUCACAAAGAUGUUACAAAGAUGGGAUUUGAUCCAAAAUUCUCACUAUUUAUUAGUUUCAUGGACCCCACGCCCCUAUGGUGAAAUCAGUAGACAUGUUGCUCUUAUGAAGCAGAAGAAUAUCUACAAUCAACUUUGCCUCCAUGUAUUGAGCGGCAACACAAAGAAGGUUGCUCUACUUGGGUGUUGUUUCGUGGAAAGGGAAAAGGGAGAAUGUAAAUGUAAAAUAUAGGUUUUUGACCCAGUCAAAAAAGAAAAAGGAGAAAGAAGAAGGAGAGAGACCGAGAGUCUUCGGGAGAGAAGAAGAAAAAGAAGAGAGAGAGAGAAGGAAAAAAAAAAGAAAGAAAGGAAAAAAAAAAAGGACAGGGGGAGGAGGAGGAGAUAAAAGGGAAAGAGAGAAGGAAAAAAGAGGAGAGAGAGAAAGGGAGACCAAAAAGCUCACACUCAAAGAAAGGAAGAGGAAGAGAGGAGGAGGAAGAAGAAGAAGAAGAAGAAGAAGAAGAAAGAGGGUUUCAUGUGUUUUCAUCAUGGGAGCCUCGCCAAGCCACCUUAACUACGUAACACAAUGCUCGGUAAGAGCUCGUGCCGCCCGUUCAUUCAAUCAGAGUAAUUUCAAACCUGUUGGAGAAAUCUUUCCAGAAUAUUUUGAAGCUGACAAAACGUUUCUAUCAAUCUAGUCUGGAUAAUUGCAGACCUUCUGUUUAGAGUCUAAAGACUUUCAGAUCACCAGACUCAGCACUCAAGACUCAAGACUCAAGACUAUUCUCAUUGACAGUUUUUCUAAUCCAGUGACGAAGGCAAUCCAGAGCCGAAGUAUUUGGUUGAGGAUUUAGUCCUAUCCUUUGGAGAAGAUCUCUUGGCUGGAUAAAUAUAACGGAUUCUCUUAUUCGUAAUCAAGAUCGUUUGAAGAUCCGAUGGUCAACGAAAUAUUCUUGGAAGGUUCUAUUCUUGGAAACCAAGAUCCUGAUUGUAUGGGCGAACAGGAUUGAUGGGCUAUCGUUAAGUUCCUUUAAUAGCUCGAAUGAUCUUCUUGAUUGAUUCCGUCCAACGGGUAGAUUGGAGGAAUUCCUUUGGUAAGUGACAACGAGUAUGAUGGCAUAAAGGAGUAUAAAAGGAAGACAUUCUAGUUACUUUAGUGUAUGAUCGAUAGAGAAAUUCCAGAGUCUGAAGCACCUUGAUUAUUAGUCGAUACAUUUUGAGCGAAGUUGUAUACACAAAGAGUGUCUAUACUUAGUGAUACCUUGAGCUAGUGUGGUAGAUUAUCUACACCAAGAAAUCAAAGGAGAACAACGCCGUAACAUCUCUUUGUUCAUAGUGGAAUCCAGCCAAUAGGCUGUCAGUGCAGAAGAGUGGACGUAGGCUUAAAAUAAGCCGAACCACUAUAAACCGCGUGUUCAAUUUUCUCUUCCCUUCUCUCAGUCUUACUUUGAUUAUUGUUUGUCUCAAAUCUAUCAACUGUCUAGUAUUGUGCAAUUAUCGAGAAAAAUCUUUUAUAUACCUAUUCACCCCCCUCUAGGUACUUAUUCUAACUAUAUCAAUUGGUAUCAGAGCUUGUGUACUCACUUUAUUUGAAGUGUUUUACUUCAGAGUAAAAGAUCCAUGGCUAGUAUGCUAGCACCAGGGCUGGUGGAAGGGCAAAGCAAUACCAAACCACCCUGCUUUGAUGGAAAGGAUUACAACAUCUGGAAGAACAAGAUGAAAGCUUUCCUACGAUCAAAGGAUCCUCUGGAAUGGGACGUUGUAGAAAAAGGAAUUACUCCUACAGCUGCAUCAGUUUCUGAAAGAGGGAAAGAAACUGUUGAGACCAGUGGAAUGACUCAGGAAGAGAUAAUGAAGAGACAAGCACUCGAUGCAAAAGCAAUUUACUCUUUAUAUUGUGCUUUGUCACCAACUGAAUAUAACAGAAUAUCUUCUUGUGUUAUAGCAAAAGAAGUUUGGGGACAGAUUACAUAUCACCUAUGAAGGAACAGAUCGAGUGAAGGAAACCAGAAUUAACAUUCUCGUCGGUCAAUAUGAAGCCUUUAAAAUGAAACCAGGAGAAUCUAUAACUAACAGGUUUAGCCGUUUUACAGAUAUUGUCAAUGGGCUUGAGAAUCAAGGACAAAAAAUUUCUGAUCCCAUGAAGGUAAACAAUCUACUGCGUGGACUCUCCAAGGAUUGAAUCACAUAAAGACUUCAAUAAGAGAGACGCAAAGAAUUAUGCCACUAUCUGUCGAUGAGCUGAUUGGACUCUUCAAUCUUAUGAAGUGGAACGAAUUAAUGAAGACGGAGAUCCAAAAGGUAAGAAAUCUAUUGCNNNNNNNNNNNNNNNNNNNNNNNNNNNNNNNNNNNNNNNNNNNNNNNNNNNNNNNNNNNNNNNNNNNNNNNNNNNNNNNNNNNNNNNNNNNNNNNNNNNNCAAAUGAUGAUUCUGAUGUUACAAUUCUGAAGAUGAUAUGGACGAUGAGGAGCUUGCUCUCAUGAUAAGAAGAUUCAGAAAACUGAAUAGAAAAGGAAGAAGGUUCAACUCAAAGAAACAAAGUUUUCAAAGACAGUAGACCAAGUCUGUUGAUGAUGAGGAAUCAAACAAAGAUGUAGUUUGCUUUGGAUGUAAGAAAAGGGAACACAUCAAACCCAACUGUCCUCUUCUGAAGAAGAAGAAAGGAAAAGCUAAAAAGUCUCGAAAGGCUCUCAAAGCCGAAACCUGGAGUGAUACAGAGUGUGAAGAAAGUGAUGAUGAAUAUGCCAACUUAUGUCUGAUGGCGCGAAUAGACUCAGACUCAAACUCUGGAUCAGACUCAGACUCAGACUCAAACUCUGGAUCAGACUCAAACUCAGACUCAAACUCUGGAUCAGACUCAGACAGUGAAUUUGAGGUAAGUAAUUUUAAAAUUCCUGUCAAGGUUUCUAAGUAUAUUAAUGAGCUGUGUUUUAGUCUUAAGACUUCCCUCAAAAGGAUUUCCGAACUUAAAAAGGAAAACUCUGCUCUAAAACAACAGGAAAAUGUUUUAAAAGAAAGAGUUAAAUGUUUAGACAAGAAUGUUUCCACUCUUAAAGAAAAUGAAGAUAGUCUUUUGAAAGAAAAUGCUCUUUUAAAAACUGACUUAUCAAAUAUUUCAAAGAAAUUUUCAAUAGGGUCCGAGAAACUUGAAAAAAUUCUUUCAGCUCAAAGACCUUACUUCAAUAAGUCUGGUCUAGGUAUGACAGCAGAAACUAUUCCCUUGAUUGAUUUUCCUAAAGUAAAAGAAAGAAUCAAGCAAAGACCCUCGAGAGAGGUUUACAAAAAUCAUUUCAAGAAGGUUUUUGUAAAGUCUGUAGGUCGAAAUGCCCUCAGGUGUUCAAAGUGCAACAGUCCGGAUCACUUUGAAAAAGAGUGUACUAUGGUUUGGAAACCUGUUAAGAAAGUAUGGGCUAAUACUGUUUAUCUUACUAACACCAAAGAACCCAAGAAAAUUUGGGUACCAAAGAAAGUUUGAGACUCUCUUUUAAAUGCAGGUCUCCGUCAAGAAAAAUGUAAAGUGGUAUCUUGACAGUGGAUGCUCAAAAUAUAUGACAGGAGACUCAAAUUGCUUCAUAAAGCUUGUUCAAGUAAAUGGUGGAAAAUUUUCAUUUGGAGGAAACAGCAAAGGAAGUAUUGUGGGAUUUGGAACUGUGAAAAUUGAAAAUCUCACAAUAAGUAAUGUUUCCCUAGUGGAAGGACUCAAUUACAAUCUUCUUAGCAUCAGUCAACUGUGUGAUAUUGAUUUUAAGAUCUUCUUUCAAGAAGGAAUAUGUACUGGAACCAGUAAAGACUCUACUCAGUCUUUCAUGGGUCGAACGCAUGGAAACAUCUAUCUCUUGGAUGUGAAACCGGAUGAAUCACAAUGCUUAAUCUCAAUUCAAGACAAAGCAAGCUUAUGGCACAAAAAGCUUGGUCACAUCAACAUGAAGCAAUUAGCCAAAAUCUCUACAAAACAGCUUGUUCAAGGUCUACCCAAAUUACCAUACCAAAAGUCUGAUCCAUGCACUCCAUGUAUUCUGGAAAAGCAGGUAAGAAAUUCAUUUAAGCCAAUAAAUCAUGUCUCUACUAAUCAUGUACUACAGUUGCUGCAUAUGGAUCUCUUUGGUCCAACCAGAACCCAGAGCAUUAGAGGUAAGAAAUAUUGCCUAGUAAUUGUGGACGAUUACUCCCGAUUUACUUGGGUAUAUUUCCUUGCAAGUAAGUCUGAAACCUUCUCGUAUUUGGAGAAAUUUGCUAAAAAUGUUCAAAAUGAAAAAAGAUGUGUUAUCUCUAGUAUAAGAACAUAUCAUGGAAGUGAAUUUGAAAAUCAAGAUUUUACAAAAUUUUGUGAUAAAUCUGGCUUUAAGCAUGUGUUCUCAUCUCCAUAUACUCCUCAGCAAAAUGGAGUUGUGGAAAGAAAGAAUAGAUCUCUUCAAGAAAUGGCUAGAACUCUUUUAAUUGAAAGUAAGAUUUCUUCACGAUUUUGGGCUGAAGCUAUUUCAACAGCGUGCUAUAUCAUCAAUAGAGUCUUCUUAAGACCUAUUCUAGAGAAAACCCCUUAUGAGUUAUUCAAAGGUAAGAAGCCUAUUGUUUCAUACUUUCAUGUGUUCGGUUGCAAAUGCUUUAUAUUGAAAAAUGCUAAAGAUCGAGUUGGUAAGUUUGAAGAAAGAUCAGAUGAAAGCAUCUUCCUUGGAUAUUCUACAUCAAGCAAAGCCUACAGAGUCUAUAACAAGAAGAGCCAGUCUGUGGAGGAGUCAAUGAAUGUCAAAUUCCAAGACUCUACGCAAGAUGAAUCAAGUCAGACUCAUCAUGAAGAGUCUGAACCUGCUCUAGACCCUCCAAAGCUUACAACUCAAGAAGCAUCUCAGACUCUGGAAGACCAGCAUCAAGCUGUUCGUGAAGAUUCAAAUAAAGAAAGAGAUCAUCAACCAGACAAAUCAAUCAGUAACUGGAAGCAUAAGUCCAGUCAUCCCAAAGAUCUCAUUAUCGGCGAAUUUAAUGAAGGAAUUCGCACCAGAUCCAAAAGACGUGAAGAGUCUAGUGCUGUGGCUCUCAUUUCUGAAAUUGAACCAAAGAGCAUAGAAGAAGCUUUAUCUGAUGAAAGCUGGAUUGAAGCUAUGCAAGAAGAGCUCAGACAGUUCAACAUUAAUGAUGUCUAGGAAUUGACAUCUAAACCAAAAGGUAAAACUGUUAUUGGAGCUAAAUGGGUGUUCAGGAACAAGAUGAAUGAGAAAGGAAAAGUCGUACGAAACAAAGUAAGACUCGUGGCCAAGGGAUAUACGCAAGAAGAAGGAAUAGACUAUGAUGAGACUUACGCUCCAGUAGCAAGGUUAGAAGCUAUUCGAUUAUUACUUGUGUUUGCUUGUUAUAAAAAUUUCAGGUUAUUCCAAAUGGAUGUCAAAAGUGCCUUCCUAAAUGGAUUUAUCCAUGAGGAAGUUUAUGUGGAACAACCACCAGGGUUUGAAGACCCAAAGAAGCCAGACUCAGUCUUCAAACUGAAAAAAGGCCUUAUAUGGUUUAAAGCAAGCACCUCGAGCUUGGUACGACAGACUAAGUAAGUUCUUAAUACAUAAUGGUUUUGUCAAAGGUAAAGUAGAUACUACUUUAUUUAUCAAAAAGGAAAACAAAAGCUUUUUAAUUGUUCAAAUAUAUAUGGAUGAUAUUAUUUUUGGAUCCUCUAAUGAAACUCUAUGCAAGAAAUUUUCUAAGUCUAUGCAGGAUGAGUUUGAAAUGAGUAUGAUGGGAGAGUUAACAUUCUUUCUUGGACUCCAAAUAAAACAAUUGAAGGAAUGAACUUUUAUUCAUCAAGAAAAAUAUACUAAUAAUCUUGUCAAAAAGUUCGGACUGGAAAAGUGCAAAAAGACCGACAUAGCAAUGUCAAGUUCUCUGAAGAUAGACAAAGAUGAAGAAGGGAAGAAAAUUGAUCAAAAGCUGUACAGGAGCAUCAUCGAUUCACUUCUUUAUCUUACUGCUUCUAGACCUGACAUUUUGUUGAGUGUUGCAUCUAUGCUAGGUUUCAAUCAGAUCCUAGAGAAUCCCAUCUCAUGCUGCGAAACGUAUUAUUAAAUACGUUGCUUCAUCUUCAAGCAUAGGUUUUUGGUAUCCUAAGAAGGGAGACUUUAAUCUUCUGGGAUAUUCAGAUGCAGAUCUGCAGGUUGCAGAGUUGACAGAAAGAGCACUUCGGGAACUUGCCAGUUGCUUGGAAGCAGGACAAUGUCUUGGUUUUCAAGGAAACAAAGCACUAUGGCUCUCUCAACAACAGAAGCAGAGUAUGUAGCUCUUGGAAGUUGCUGUUCGCAAAUUCUAUGGAUAAAACAACAGCUACAAGACUUUGGAAUUGAAGACUCAUGCACAGAGAUUAGAUGUGACAACACCAGCGCAAUCAAUCUUACUAAAAAUCCAAUCCUUCACUCAAGAGCAAAGCAUAUAGAGAUUCGACAUCAUUUCAUUAGAAAUCAUGUUCAAAAUGGAGAAAUCUCGAUUCAAUUUGUUGAUUCAAAGAGCCAACUAGCGGAUAUAUUCACAAAGCCUUUGGAGAAAAAUCAAUUCGAUUUUAUCCGUUCCAGACUCAACAUUUUGAAGCUUGAGGAAGUUAAAGUUUAGAGACUCUCAAACCCUCAGACUCAGACAUUCAUGGCUAUAGACUGUAAGUUGUUAUUAUAUUCAAUCUCGAAAAGGUACGAUCAUUAGUUCAGUUAAUUUAUAAUUUCCGUGAAAAACGGAAUCUUGUCUUUUCAAAAAGAUUAACUUAUAUUUGGCAGUUAUCGAUUUCAAAAGAGGCGUCUGUUCAUUUUCCUUUGUGCUGAUUGGUUGUUUCCUUUUUUAAACUGAGUUAUAUAUAUACAGUUUUCCUCGCUUAAACUUCAAAACCCUAAAAAGGCAUUCUCCUACCAAUCCUAUCUCUACUUUGUGUUCAUCUUCGAGAAAUUUGUCAUCUUUUCUUGGGAAAGCGAGUAAAGGAAUCUUUCAACGACAAGGAAGGAUGUCUUCUUCGAGAAAGUCUUCAAGAAUCGCGAACAGGGGACCACAGAGAAUGAGGGAGGGGCCUACCCAUUUCGAUCUCACCAAAGAGGAAGAUUUAUCGAGUCAGCAACAGAGCCCGAUUCACUCUCCACCACGUCACUCUUCAUCAUCUACCCCAAAAGGUGCGGGUCAACAACCGGAGGAAGAAAUAAUCGAGGACGCAGACCCUGUAAGAGUCCAAAAACCCUCUUUUAUUUACAAGCUCUAUCUUGCGUUGAAAAGCACUGGGACUCCACUGAACUAUAUAGAUGAUUUCCUUAAAGAUAAGAAUUAUGGGAAUGAGUAUAUCUUUUUGCGACGAAUGGAGGAUUUGGGAAUUGCUCCCAAAGGAAAGGCUGAGGAAGCACUUGCGAACAUUCCAAGUGACCCUCGUGUAUCGGGACUGAAUCCAACUGACGGGAACGAUGAUGAUAAAAUGUUCCUUGAAUUUCAACCUAGAAUGGGUGUUGCUACGAAGGUGAAGGGAAAAAGGAUGGAUUUGUUUAAAUCGAAGGAACAGGAGAAUCUGUUCUUCAGACUGUUGAAACGAGGGGUGAUAAACCCUAGAAGUGUUGAUUUCGAUUUCUUGGAUGCCAUUAAUGUGAAUUUAAGGGAGAAGUUCAAUCUGCUUCAACUUGAGCAAUUUUACUCCGAUACCACAGACGGUUAUGCGCAAUUGAUAGCAUACUUCUAUUCAAAUCUUAGCUUUUUAGAUGCGAAUAGAAUAUCCUUCAGUGUUCGAGACCACAACUAUGUGGUAGAUGUGGACAUGUUGGCAGAUAUAAUUGGAGUUGAAAGAGGACGAUAUCAACCGAUCAAAGUUUCGAUUGCUCGUACCACACUGGAGCUUGUCAAAGACAGGAUACAGAGGGAAGAAUUACCUACACAAGAAUGCGUGCCAUCAAUAUUUUGCUUCACAAAAUUGUGAUCAACUAUAUCAGGCCAAAGUCUACAUCCCAGACUGACGUGUCUAACUCCGAGGCGAAAUUGAUGUACGCGAUCAAUUCAGGGAAGAAGUUCUCUCUUCCUCACACCAUUCUCUUUCACAUGUACAGAGCAAUGGUGAAGGACAAGGGCCAAUUGCCUUACCCAGGUCUUAUGACCAAGAUCUUCAGACACUUGAACAUUGAACCUCCACAUACUCUUUGUGUUCGACCAUGCGACAAAAUGGUGGUGGGUUUGAAAAUGCUGACAAAAAUGCGUCUGAAAGAGCUUAAUAAGGCAAUGGAGAAGUUCAAAGUGAAGACUCCAGCAUCUUCUGCAUCUAAGAGAAAAGGAAAAGAGCCCAUGGGUGCUCCACCCAAAAAGAAAAUAACUCUUAUCUUGGAGGAUGAAGAUGAAGAGGAAGAUCUCACUAUCUCUGCAUUGAAAAGGACCAGACGUUCUGUACCUGAAUCAAUAGAACGACGGAUGAAAGGAAAAGAAGCAGAGGAAAAAGAACAGAGAGAAGAAAAGGGACAAGCAAAGAACAGAGAAACAGAGGAGCAACAAGAGAAAGAGAAAGAAGACAAAGAGAAAGAAGCUGAAGAAGAAAGAGAAGCAAUGAAAGAAAAGUCUGCAGAUGAAGCCGAAGAAAAAGGGAAUCAAGACGCUGAAGAGCAUGAUAAUCACUCUUCCCCAAUUGAGGUCCUAGAGACAGAGGGAGAUGGCGAGCAAGGAAGGACUACACCAUAUCCUGUCAACAGUGAAGGUGUGAGUCGCUCACCAGCAAAUCCAGAAGAUUUUCAGGCUUCUCAAAUGCCUGCGGAAGGACAUGAUACGUCAACACCAAAUCUGCUCGAUUACACCGAAGUUCCAUCAUCUACCUUCACUCCAUCCAAGAGAGCAAAUGCGAGCACACAGACGAACAAUACAGCAGAUUUUCGUCGUAUCCUUGAUGUUCUUCUAGAAAUGCAGGGUCAAAUCUAUGCUCUGGACUGUGAACUUCAAGUCCUGAAGAAUGCUGGACAAGCAUCUUCUGUUACCCUGGCGGAGCAAAUGAAAGACCUCGCUCUUCAAAUUCAAGCCAAUGCCAAAGGAGAAGAGGUGGCUCAUCUAAGGGAAGACUUGAAGAGGCUGGAAGGCAUCGUACAGUCAAUGGGAGAUUUCCAGAUUGUGCACAUUCCCAAGCAGAUUUGACUCUUUUCUCACCUUUUUAAUGAUGACAAAAAGGGGGAGAAUUGCAAUUUGAACUCUUUAAAACUUUGACUUUAAAUUUCUUUGUGUGUUUGAAUGUUUGUUUUUUAGUAUGACUUGGGUGUGAACUUGAAUUUGACUGACUUGGGUGUGGAUUUUGAUACUUGACUGUUUGCAUUUAUAUCAAGUGUUGUUGUAUGGUUUUAUUCAUGAAAGACUAACCGAUUUUCUGUGGAUGCAGAGUCUGGUUGAUUUUAUUAAUCUUUAUGAGAUAGCCAUAUUGCUUGAGUAAUGUUUUGUAGGUCAAAGUUAUUCAAAUCUACAGGAAAGUUUUGUCACCAUCAAAAAGGGGGAGAUUGUUGGAGAAAUCUUUCCAGAAUAUUUUGAAGCUGACAAAACAUUUCUAUCAGUCUAGUCUGGAUAAUUGCAGACCUUCUGUUUAGAGUCUAAAGACUUUCAGAUCACCAGACUCAGCACUCAAGACUCAAGACUCAAGACUCAAGACUAUUCUCAUUGACAGUUUUUCUAAUCCAGUGACGAAGGCAAUCCAGAGCCGAAGUAUUUGGUUGAGGAUUUAGUCCUAUCCUUUGGAGAAGAUCUCUUGGCUGGAUAAAUAUAACGGAUUCUUUUAUUCGUAAUCAAGAUCGUUUGAAGAUCCGAUGGUCGACGAAAUAUUCUUGGAAGGUUCUAUUCUUGGAAACCAAGAUCCUGAUUGUAUGGGCGAACAGGAUUGAUGGGCUAUCGUCAAGUUCCUUUAAUAGCUCGAAUGAUCUUCUUGAUUGAUUCCGUCCAACGGGUAGAUUGGAGGAAUUCAUUUGGUAAGUGACAACGGGUAUGAUGGCAUAAAGGAGUAUAAAAGGAAGACAUUCUAAUUACUUUAGUGUAUGAUUGAUAGAGAAAUUCCAGAGUCUGAAGCACCUUGAUUAUUAGUCGAUACAUUUUGAGCGAAGUUGUAUACACAAAGAGUAUCUAUACUUAGUGAUACCUUGAGCUAGUGUGGUAGAUUAUCUACACCAAGAAAUCAAGGGAGAACAACGCUGUAACAUCUCUUUGUUCAUAGUGGAAUCCAGCCAAUAGGCUGUCAGUGCAGAAGAGUGGACGUAGGCUUGAAAUAAGCCGAACCACUAUAAACCGCAUGUUCAAUUUUCUCUUCCCUUCUCUCAAUCUUACUUUGAUUAUUGUUUGUCUCAAAUCUAUCAACUGUCUAGUAUUGUGCAAUUAUCGAGAAAAAUCUUUUAUAUACCUAUUUACCCCCCUCUAGGUACUUAUUCUAGCUAUAUCAAAACCUAGGGCUUGAAAUUCGGAAUUUUGGGAAAAUCAAGCAAUGAAGUAUGAUUUUUGAGUCGUUGAACCACGUAUAAAAAAGUUUAUGGUGUUUUGAAGCUAUAGGAUUUUACGAAUCUGAUUUGAGCUUACGGUUUGUCCGAAACAAAAUUUUAAAAUUUAUUGCGAGUGAUGAAUAGUGCGCAACCAAGACUUCGGGGCCAUAUUUUGUUAAUUUUCAGCUUGAUUUCGGGUUGGCUAAAUUAGGAUUCUUAUAGUAUGUUGGAUGGACUUUCCAUUGACUAUAAGUACAUUUAAACAAAGUUCGGUGGAAAAAAUUAUGGCAUGAUAAAGUUCCGUGCUCAAGCUUUGUGCUAUAGACGGCUUCAAGUAAUUCCUUUGGUUGAGCAAUUUAUUGGUGCGUGGGAGUCGUUUUCUAAGCGCUCAUGCUUAGUUUAGUCAAAUCAUAGUCGUUUUCUAAGCGCUCUCAUUGUUUCUCGUUUAUUUGAUAGGAUCGCGAGUUCGACAAUUUGAGUAACGCUUGUUAUUUGAUCAUAAGCAUUUCGAGAUGAGUGGUGCUAUAUCUUCUAAGAAUUUAUAAGCUCAUAUUUUUUAAAUGAUAAAGGAUCGAUAUUUUAUGAGUUAUGAAUAAGUAUAUUUGUUAUAUAAAAUUUAGAUCAGGCAUUUAUUACGCUUUGGUAUUUGAGAAUAGUGUGAGAACUUUUUGGUGGAAAUAUAUAUUAUGUUUGAUGAAUGAAGUUGAAAAAUAUUACAUGUUUUGGGUUUGUGAAACCUUUUUACGAAAAGUUCGACUUUGAGAUGGUUUAUGGAAUGUUAUAUAGAUAUCGAUUUGUGAUAAGCUUUUUGAAAUGUAUUUGAUUUGAUUUGAGUUGUAAAAUUGAUUUAUGAGACGAGUCUUGAAAUUAUUUUAGAAUGUUUUAUGAAAAGUAUUUUUGGCAAAUAAGUUGAAUCGUGAAAUAUUUUGGUGAAUAUGAAAUGAUUUAUGGAUUUGGCUUUGUGUAUUGUGGAUAGUGUUGUUUUGGAUUGGUAUUAAAGCUCAAUAUCAUUGUGAGCCCAGUGAAGGGCUUGUAGGUAUGCACAUACUAGUCUAGAAUAUCUUUGUAGGCCGAGUCACAAACUAAUAAUAGGUGAAGACUUUGCCAAGGGGGGAAUCUUGGUCGCCUCGUCACCAAGCGUUGUAUCGUGACCAUCGUUUGAUAUUGAGCAACGAAUUAGUCAAUAGAAUGGACCAUUGACACAUGAUAUGAGUUUAAUCGAUGAAAUUGACCAUUGAUGUGUAAUUUGAGAUUUGUUGUUGGAAUGGACCAUCAACGUGUAAUUUCAUUAGACCGUUGAUAUGUGGCAUGAGAUUAACCAAUUGAAUGGACCAUUGGCGUGUGAAUUAAUGAGAUUAAUCAAUGGAUUAGACCAUUGAUGGUUAUUUUGAUAUUAUUGUGAAAUGAUUAUUUCUGAUAUUUAAGCGUAUGUACUUAUUCUUUUAGUUUAUGUUUGUUAUAUCAUAGAUUUGAGUUAAGAGAGUUGUAGUUUGAUUUAUAAAUAUGCAUAGUGGGUACUUGAUCCGCUUAGAAAAAAUGCACUAUUUAAUAAGCUACGGUUGCUCACCCCUCUAUUUGCCAAUCUUUUUCAGAUCCCUCAGCUAACAAUGAGUAGUACGAAAGCAAUAUCGACGAGGGGACUUUUAGGAGUUGGAUUUUGGGAGCUUUGGGGCAGCGUUUUUCGAAUGGAAGGACGGCCUUGUCAUCCCCCAUUCAUGAUGGUUUUAGGGUGUGACAGUAAACCCAAUGCAUGUGUGCGAAAGAGCAUGCCUGGACAAGUUCAACCUUAGGAGACUUUGGAGGUAAAUUACAAUAUUUGAAUAAAUGAUACUAACUUGUCAUCUAUAAUUAAUUAAUUAAUUAAUUAUUGAGUGUUACUAUUUUCAAAUUAUGAUUGCGGACUAUAUAAUCAAGCUAUCGUUCAUAAAGAUAAGUUAUUGGUUAUAAAUGAAAACGAAGUUCCCACGAUUAAAUAUAAAUUAUGAUUCAAAUUACGAGACCACUUCUCAACCCUAAAUGCACUCUUUUCAUGUCUAGUCCUACAUGAGAUAAAAAUACGAUAGAUAACAUUUUGAGACAAUUUCAAUUCAACUUUAUCUAAUACUAGCAUGUAAUCUUGCACGAUUCGAGGAUACUUUAAUUCUCCAAAAAAAGAAGUGCAACUUUUUAUAGAACUAAAAACUUGUUCAUACUUCAUACGUAAGCAAGGGUCGCUUAGCAUAGGCACCUGAUGAUAUACAUUACGAUAAUCAAAAUUAAUUAGCUAACAUUAGUCAUGUGUCGAGAUUUCGGUUUCCAAAUCCCUAUAGAUCUUUAUAUACCGUGAUUUCUGUUUUUGACACUGUAUUGUUGUUUCCACGUUCAACAACCUAUAUCUAGAUUGAGCCUAUAUUAUUCUGCUCAAGUCCUGCCUCCAAUUCGUUAUCUAUGUUCCAGGAAACCAGGAAAAGAUAACGAAACAAUUGGACAUGUCUUAGCUGCAACAAAAUAGCACCAAAUUACAUGUCUUAUUCAAUUGGAAUGGACAACAGGGCAGCUCUUUACUUUAAAUGACUCAAUCAGUAACCCAACCCUGUCCCACAGCUCAAAAAUUAACGAUGAGAAUGUAACGAACAGCGUAAUUCUUCUUGGAGAUUGGUGUCGGUAGGGGUGUGCAUUCUUCUUGAGGGAACCGGUCCGGUUCCUGGGUCCAAUUGUUGAGAACCGGUGGGAACCGGUCCGGUUCCCGGUUCCAUGGGCGGAUCCGCCCGCCCACCCACCCGAACCGGACCGGUACUAUUUAUAAUUAAAAACAAAAAAACAAAAAAAAAAACAAAAGUCGCGAACGAAGCCCCCUGCCCCUAAUUCGCGAAGCCCUAAUCACGUUUCUUCUUCUUCAACCUCCGACUCUCUCUGUUCCUUUCCUUCUCUUCGUCUUCGAUUCCACGGUUCCACGGUCCACCCCGAGUAUCCACGCCGCCGCCGCUGCUCCUCCUCCGCCACUGUCCGCCCCCAUCGCGCCGGUCACCACUCGCCAGCGGCCAACCGCUGCUCCUCCGCCUCUGCAAGAACUCUUGACCGAGCCGGCAAGCCCCUUUUCCGUCACUCAACAAGGUAAGAAGCCCUAAUUUGCUUCUCAUCUCUUGAUUCUCUUCCGAUUUCUUCCUCAGUUUUUGAUUAUCUCUCUGUUUCUUCCUCAAUCUCUUCUCCUCGUCUUCGAUUCCUCACCAAGCAUUCACGCCGCCACCGCUGCUCCUCCUCCGCCACUGUCCGCCCCCUCGCGCCGGUCGCCACUCGCCACAGCCGCUGCUCCUCCGCCUCUGCUGUCCGCCCCCCUCGCCAUAAACCCUACAGAGCUCUUGCUUUCCUCACCACCAAACCAAAGGUACAAACGAGUCCGUGCGUGGCAUCUCGUUAUUCUGCUCAAUUUGUCAAUUCCCGUCGUUCUAAAAGUGAGUUCGGUUGUGUUUAGAACUUUAGAUCCACGUAGCAAAUUUGAGGGUCGUGCGAUUUUGGGGUCUCCUGAAUUGAGUUACAAGUUGGUUAUUUUCUAGCGGAAUCUUCUUUUCCAAGUGUUGUUUCAAUUUGGUCUUUCGGUUACUCGGUGGCCAUGGUAAUAGCAUGUGCUGUUGGUGGCAUUCCUUUCCUGACCGUUCCCUUUUCUUUUCUUUUUUUAUUCGCCGGGUUGAUCAAUGUGCAUUGGAAUUUCUCUGUAUAUCGUAUAAUGGAUGUUUGGUCGACUAUUAUGUUCAGUUUGGCAUGGUGGAAUGGAAUGGAAUCGGGAAAUGAUGGGGAAAGGAAUGGGCUAGAGUGAUGAUUCCAAGUCUUGGUUUUUUUCUUGGUGAAUCGUGGGAAACGGAACGGAAUAAAAUCUUUGUGUUUGAGCGUGAUUCUAGAUAAUUUUGUGAGUUUUGAGCUUGUGGUGAUUUGGUAAUGUGGAGAGAUGGUCGCUGUUCACGAGCUUUUGAGAUUUUCUGGUCGAUUGUCACUUGUCAGUGCUUAGUUCAAUUUGCUACAAUUUGAUUUUGUGAUAAUUCUGGGAGUUGUGAGGUUGUAUUGGUUUGUUGAUGGGGUCUAUUUUCAGUUUUGUGAUAAUCCUACAGCACUUCUUUUGUUCGUUUGCCAGCUUUUGGCAGUUUCCGAAAAAAAACAGAGAGUACAUUUUCGGUUUUGUCCACAAAAAAAAAACAGAGAGUACGUUUUCGGUUUUGCAUUUGAGAAAUUGUGAUUGUGCAUUUUCUUAUAUUCUAAGAUUGAUGAUCUAGACCUAAAGAAGUGAUGUAGACUAACCAUAGUGCAUUGCUUGAUUCAGGUGAUUCAUUAACAUGUCAAUGGAAGUAGAGGAAUCUUAUGAUGCAAUAAUACCAAUAGUGGAAUCAACAUCACAAGAACAUGAAGGAGGUGAAAACUUUGAAGAAACAUCAAAAACAAAUCAGGUAUCUGGUUCUUGUCCAUGUCCUCCUAGUAAGCGAAAAUCAGCAGCUUGGCUUCAUUUUCGAAAAGGAAUAACUCACACAAAUGGGAAAGUUGAUGUAUUUUGCAAUUACUGCGGAUCCAAGUAUUCAUACCACGUUGAUAAUGGGACUUCAAAUAUGUUGAAGCACUUGAGAAAGUGCAAUAANNNNNNNNNNNNNNNNNNNNNNNNNNNNNNNNNNNNNNNNNNNNNNNNNNNNNNNNNNNNNNNNNNNNNNNNNNNNNNNNNNNNNNNNNNNNNNNNNNNNNNNNNNNNNNNNNNNNNNNNNNNNNNNNNNNNNNNNNNNNNNNNNNNNNNNNNNNNNNNNNNNNNNNNNNNNNNNNNNNNNNNNNNNNNNNNNNNNNNNNNNNNNNNNNNNNNNNNNNNNNNNNNNNNNNNNNNNNNNNNNNNNNNNNNNNNNNNNNNNNNNNNNNNNNNNNNNNNNNNNNNNNNNNNNNNNNNNNNNNNNNNNNNNNNNNNNNNNNNNNNNNNNNNNNNNNNNNNNNNNNNNNNNNNNNNNNNNNNNNNNNNNNNNNNNNNNNNNNNNNNNNNNNNNNNNNNNNNNNNNNNNNNNNNNNNNNNNNNNNNNNNNNNNNNNNNNNNNNNNNNNNNNNNNNNNNNNNNNNNNNNNNNNNNNNNNNNNNNNNNNNNNNNNNNNNNNNNNNNNNNNNNNNNNNNNNNNNNNNNNNNNNNNNNNNNNNNNNNNNNNNNNNNNNNNNNNNNNNNNNNNNNNNNNNNNNNNNNNNNNNNNNNNNNNNNNNNNNNNNNNNNNNNNNNNNNNNNNNNNNNNNNNNNNNNNNNNNNNNNNNNNNNNNNNNNNNNNNNNNNNNNNNNNNNNNNNNNNNNNNNNNNNNNNNNNNNNNNNNNNNNNNNNNNNNNNNNNNNNNNNNNNNNNNNNNNNNNNNNNNNNNNNNNNNNNNNNNNNNNNNNNNNNNNNNNNNNNNNNNNNNNNNNNNNNNNNNNNNNNNNNNNNNNNNNNNNNNNNNNNNNNNNNNNNNNNNNNNNNNNNNNNNNNNNNNNNNNNNNNNNNNNNNNNNNNNNNNNNNNNNNNNNNNNNNNNNNNNNNNNNNNNNNNNNNNNNNNNNNNNNNNNNNNNNNNNNNNNNNNNNNNNNNNNNNNNNNNNNNNNNNNNNNNNNNNNNNNNNNNNNNNNNNNNNNNNNNNNNNNNNNNNNNNNNNNNNNNNNNNNNNNNNNNNNNNNNNNNNNNNNNNNNNNNNNNNNNNNNNNNNNNNNNNNNNNNNNNNNNNNNNNNNNNNNNNNNNNNNNNNNNNNNNNNNNNNNNNNNNNNNNNNNNNNNNNNNNNNNNNNNNNNNNNNNNNNNNNNNNNNNNNNNNNNNNNNNNNNNNNNNNNNNNNNNNNNNNNNNNNNNNNNNNNNNNNNNNNNNNNNNNNNNNNNNNNNNNNNNNNNNNNNNNNNNNNNNNNNNNNNNNNNNNNNNNNNNNNNNNNNNNNNNNNNNNNNNNNNNNNNNNNNNNNNNNNNNNNNNNNNNNNNNNNNNNNNNNNNNNNNNNNNNNNNNNNNNNNNNNNNNNNNNNNNNNNNNUCUAGGAUCACCCUUACGACUGACACAUGGAGUUCCAUUCAGAAUUUGAACUAUCUAUGCCUUACUGCACAUUUAAUUGAUGAAGAUUGGAAAUUGCACAAAAGGAUCAUCAAUUUUGUGGUAAUAGCUAGUCACAAGGGCAGGGAUAUUGGGAGAGUUAUUGAUAAAUGCAUAUAUGAGUGGGGAAUAGAGAAGAAAGUGUCCACAAUUACAGUGGAUAAUGCUAGUUCAAAUGAUGUGGCCAUUAAUUAUUUGAAAGAAAAAUUUUCAAGAGAGAGGCUAUUGAUCUUAGAUGGUGAAUCUUUACACAUGAGAUGCACGGCUCAUAUAUUAAACUCGAUUGUGAAGGAUGGCUUGGCUGAGAUACGUGAUUCCAUUACACGUAUUCGAAACGUGGUUAGGUAUGUGAGAAGUUCUCCUAUGAGAGCUAAGACAUUUCGAGAUUGCAUUGAAAUUACAAGAAUUGCUUAUAAGGGUUCAGUUUGUCUUGAUGUCCCAACUAGGUGGAAUUCCACUUACCUAAUGUUAGAGAGUGCCAUAAAGCUAAAAAAAGCUUUUGAAAGGAUGGAGGAAGAAGAUGUUUCUUUCUUAACUAAGCUUAAUUCUGAUACUCCAAAUAGCGUUGAUUGGGAAAAUGCUAUUGUUCUUUCUAAUUUUUUGAAGAAGUUUUAUGAUACAACCAAGAAGAUGUCCGGAACUUUGUAUAUCACUUCAAAUGAUUAUUUUGUGGGGAUAGCUUCUUUGUACAAAUAUUUGCGGGAAGCAAUGAAGGCUUUUGAUCAUAGGGUGAGAGUUAUGGGGUUAAAAAUGAAAGAGAAAUUUGACAAAUAUUAUGGAAGUUUUGAAAAAGUCAAUAUGAUGGUAUUGAUUGCGGUAACAUUGGAUCCUAGAAAAAAGCUGAAUUAUGUGAGGUAUUGUUGUAAACUCAUUUAUGAUGAUGCUGCAGAAGUUGAUGAGAUGUUUGAUAAGGUGAAGUUUGCCUUGGAACGUGUGUUUAAAUUUUAUGAGAAAUCUUGUCACACUUCUAGAGACAAAAAUUUGGAUGGUGAAUUGGUAAGUUCUUCUAAUAUCGGUAGUAGCUGCGAUUCUUAUCUCAAUGAGGGAAAUGAAGAGGAUGAUUGCAGCUUAAAUUUCUUUGUGCAAGAGCCUUCGUAUGAUGACUUUCUUAAUGAGGAGAAGAAAAAGUCCGAUAGCAACUUAUCUGAGCUCGAUCGAUAUCUUAAAGCUGAACUUGAAGAUGGUCGCGAUCUUGACAUUUUGAAAUGGUGGAGUGUUGCUGGCCAAAAGUUUAAAAUCUUAUCUUUGAUGGCUCGGGAUAUUUUGUCUAUUCCCGUUACUACCGUUGCUUCAGAAUCAACUUUCAGUACUUCUGGUCGUGUGCUUGAUGGUUUUCGGAGUUCUUUGACUCCUAGAGUUGUGGAAGCUUUGAUUUGUACUCAAGAUUGGUUGAGAGCAAUUCGUGAUCCGAUUAAUGUUGAAGAAUGUAUUGAAAAUGCGGAAAAGUUUGAAUUUGGUAAGUCCAUAUCAUUUCAUAAUGUAAUUUUUUUGUAUAUCUAUUAUCUAAGAAUUGAAUUCUUUAUUUAAUAUCUUCUUUUUGUUAGAUAUGGAUGACGUUGGCAAGGAGAUUAACAAGGAGAUUGACGGUCCAUAGAGUUUACAAGUUGAAGUGGGAGGAAUCUAUGAGUCAUCUUGAAGGUUUUUUCCCCCACCUCACUAUUUUAUCUAUUUCUUUGCAAGAUGGGAGAUUUCUCUUUCUUCCCCAUAUAUAAAAACGUACAUUUGCUUUUGUUCAUGGGUUGUGUGCCGUAUUGGGAGAUCAUGAGCAUGUGCGGAGGUGGUGGAUGUGGUGUGGGGUGUGAGGAACAAGGUAAUGGCGUGUCGGCUAGCUCAAAAGGUGUCGUCGCAUCACGAAAGAUAAUUGAAGUAGCCUCAAUUGGAACUUGGUUUUGCUGUCCCUUGUUCUAUCUCUUUCUCUUUGCUUUUUUUCUUUCCCUUUUGCUCAUUUUAUUAUUGUUUUCAUUAUUUUCUUUCGAAAGAAUUCAUGGUGGAUAAUGAGCUUGAGAGGGAGGACUAAUGCAAAAGAAAUUCGUCUAUUAUUCAUCUAUUAAUUAUUGUUUUAGUUUUUGGAGAUUGGAACUUGGAAUUUUAGAGCUCAAAACUUCCGGACCGGCGGUCCGGGAAACCAAAAUUGUUUCGCUCUUGAAAACCAGAAUUUUUGGCGUCAAAAUCGGUUCCAUGGAUCCACCCGGGAACCGGACCGGACCGGCAGUCCGGUUCCCGGGUGGAUCCUGGUUCCGAUUUUUUGGAACCGGUCCUUAGCGGGCGGUUCCCGGUUCUAGGUCGGGAACCGCCCGCCCGGACCAUGCACACCCCUAGGUGUCGGGCCGAGUGCCACAUGAACAAAUUCUUGACAGCAAUAGGAAUGAGCUUUUGCUGACGUUCAAAGCCUGAGCAUGAAGAGAAACAAAAGAUCCCGGACUCCUGAAGAGCUACGGACUUCUUUUGGUAAGCCUCAGAUUGCUAACAAAAUUGAGGAUUAGCCAUCGAAAUCUAAAAACCGUUCCCCUCUUAAAGAAAAUGUAAUCACAACAUCUCAAUUUAGAAGUUGAUGCACCCAAUGAUAGAUGCGUACGAAUAUUCCAAAGAGCUUACAAUAAAACACAACACCUAGUUACUACCGGGUACAAUGGAAAAGAACAUUCAACAUUCAAAGCCCGAGAUUAAUCCCAAGAAGCAACAGACUUUGAUCCCAUCACAUGAAGUCCAAACAACAUAACAAAUAAAUUCAAGCAUUCGGUAGUAUUCUAUUGACACUGGCAGCUUCUAUUGAUUGUAGUACUUCCACGACUUCAGACAUGGACGGGCGCAGCUUACGAGUUAGAUUGAGGCAUAUUAAAGCUAGUUGUGCUAUUUGGAAUGCAAAUUCUUCACAAUGUUCACCCUUCAAUCUCGAGUCCAUUAUAGUACUCAGUUUUCCCUCACUGUGUAAGUGUGGUAGGGCCCACUUCACUAAAGUAGCCAGGCCCAUUGGAGACCGUGGGUUACGCGCCCUCAAACCUGUUAGUAUCUCAAGCAGCACAACGCCGAAACUAUAAACAUCACUCUUUACAGUGAGAUGUCCUGUAAAAUCCAAGAGUCAUAUGUGAUGUUGCAGCGAAACGUGGGAAAAUAAAUAACUUCCCCAUAUUACUCUCAAAAUUCAAGAUCGCGCAAUAGUCAGCACUAAGUCACCAAAAAGCACUUUACAAUGGAAAAAUUACCGGUUGUUUUGUAUUCAGGGGCAGCAUAGCCAUCGGUACCAAUAAACUGUGUUGAAACAUGUGUCUUGUCGUCUAGAGGACCAGACCUCACCAAUCCAAAGUCCGAGAGUUUGGCCGUGUAAGACUGCAGAAGAACCGGACAGUGGAUUAGACUCGGUUUCCAGCCUAACUAUCAAUUGCAAACUCUAGUAAAUCUAGCAAAAAACAAAAUGGAGAUAUCUAAAAGCAACUGGGGACUGGUUAAGGGUCUUGUCUCGGGUUCUGAACUCAACAUCAAAUCUAAGAAUGAUAAAUUUGCAAUCGACUAUAACCCGUCCAUCAGUUGAGCAAAGGCAAACAUAGGAUCUCCGCUCGCUAUUAUGACUCUUUUCUCAUGGUUAGAGGACAAAAUAUCAAGUCUUCAAAGGGAGAUACGAGGCAUUUUAACGUUAUCAUUAUCCUUCUCCAAAGAAUUUGACUAGAAUGAUAAUAGAUUUCAUAUGAAUUUUGUGAUACAGGACCAUAAUCAUUAUAAGAAGGAUAAAUAAUAACCCCAUCUAGCAAAUAUUUGCACUUUUAAAAUCCCUGUGUAUCACGUUAGAACUGUGCAAGAAGGCCAAGCCUUUGGCAGCUCCUACCGCAAUCUUGAGGCGUACAUCCCAUGAAAGAUGAUCUGUAGAGCCCUCUGUACCAGAGUAAUGACAAUGUAAAAUGUAAGUAAUUCUUAAAAAGCAAAUACGUGUUCAAACCAGCCUGAAAUUUGAAAUUAGCACAUACAUCGACUAUGACUAUAAACUGAUCAAGAAGAUAUGGUAAACAAUUGGCAUCCUUAAGGAGACUUUUCCGAAAUUUACUGAGUGGUUACCACUUACUUCCGAAUAGCUGGUUUUCCAAACUGCCCAUUGGCAUGAACUCAUAAACAAGAGCUAAAUUUUCAUCGUCGUGACAAAAUCCCAGGAGAAUGAUAAGGUUAGGGUGAGAUAUCCUUCCAAUAAAGGCUAUCUUGCUCUGCACGAAAAUAAGCAAAAGAGUCUCACGCGUGGUCAGUAGUAAAAGAUAUGAAAGAAAUGGAAGCCCCCACACUAAACCAGGUAGAUGUUUUUCUCCUUAAGCUUCAAAUGGUCAAAGAAACGAAACAAUCACAACGGAAUAGUUGAUAUCGAAACAAAAGGUACAUAAUGGGAACUAACACCUAAUUUCCAAUGAAAUGUUCAGUUUAACUAGUAGUUUGUAGGGGUGAGCAUCGGUCCAAGGUCAACCCUGGACCGACCCUGGAUCGGUCCAACCUUGCCGGUCCUGGUCUGAUUCCCAAGGAGACUGGGUCGGUCAUUGAUCCUAGAAUUCCUGAACUAGCACUGUGCAGGUCGAUCCUCGAUCCUGAGAGUUCAGGUCGGUCCAACCUUGACUAUAUAUAUAUAUAUAUAUAUAUAUAGAAAACCUUAAAAUAAACGGCAUCAACAUUAAACAACUCUUUAGUGAGGAGUUCAAGUAAUUUUAAAUUUUUUCUUUAAUAACUUAGGUUUUUAAUGUUUUUUACGAUGUCAAUAGUCAUAAUUUACGAAGGAGGAAAAUAUUUUUGUGAGAAGUCCUCAUGACGUUCAAAAAGGCACCUUAUGGCAUCCUCCUUUAGUCUUCGUUCUCUUCUAUCUUAUUUGUCCCCUUAGUCUUCAAUUUUCAAAAAUCGAAAAAAAAAAUUCUACACUCGCCACUCAACGCUUGCCUCACUCGCUUUAGGUCACUCGUGCCUCUCGCCGCUCAAUGCUUGCUUGGUUUAUUGCUCCCUGCUUGACAUUCGAUACUCAUUCUGUUCGACACUCAUUCCACUCGACCCUCACUGCUUGCCUUUCUUAACUGACCUCACUCAUCAUUAAACCCAUUGAGUCAUACGAUCCCCGGUUGCCCUUUUCAAUAAGUACAAAAAAUGAAAUAAAAAAUUAUUUGUUGGUCUUGGGUUGACCUUAAAAUCAGAUCGAACCCAUUGGGUUAGUUCGGUCCUCAAUCGCUUUUUUAAGGAGUACAAAAAAUGAAAUAAAAAAUUAUCAGUUCGUUCGGGGUUGACCCUGGAAUCGGACCGAACCCAUUUGGUCGAUCCGGUCCUCGGUCCCAAGCCCAAUAAGGUCAAUCCUCGAUCCCAAAAAUUGAGAACCAGUACUGUGCGGGUUGGUCUUAGGGUUAAGGAGUGGACCGGCUCAAUCCAGACCAUACUCACCCCUAGUAAUUUGAUUGAAGACUCAUGGUCAUUGUACAUCCUGUAAUAUAAAAUACAUAUCAAUAUUUGGUAAAAUGUACUCAAGUCAUACCAGCACUGUAGAAAAUAUCUAGUUUGCAUGAACCAGUAGUAGCUAUGUAGAAUCAUUGGAAUUUGCGACUGAAAACCGUUUAUUAUUUGCGACCAAACUGAUGACUUUAUCUUGCAGUGGUGUGUCCACCCUAUAUGGUUUGAUCAACCUUGCAAUUUCUUUCAGUUCUUGAAUAUAGAAGCAGAAUUCGCUCGAAGGAAAAAGAAAACAAGUUCACUAUGAAAAGAACCGCAUUGCAUUAGUCAAAGAAGGUUAGAAAGAUGAAGUUGCCUAGGGGCUAUGAUCACAUUGAAAAGGUUGAUCAUUACAUGGAUGGAAGACUCUGAACUUAUAUUUGCGCAAUUUCUUCAUUCCUUGCAAUCGAAUCGCACUUACUAGGUUCUUCCAAUAGUUAGCAUCAUACAAGCCAAUGGCUACACACUCGCGCGGCAUGGGUUUACUAAGUCAAUUACAAAAUAUAAGAAAUGCAAAAAGAAAGUUCAUCACCGCUAACUAAAUGGAGCCCUAAAAUGUAUUUUGCCGAGGACCAUAGUCACCAAAUAAUCUCAAGAACAAAACCAAAAGCGUAUUUUCAAUUGUAAAUAAAUCGUUGAUCUUUCCUUUCUAUCGGAAUGAUUGAAGCAAAAUCGCUUCUUAGAUUCUUAUUUUACUUCAUUUAAAUCCAAAUAAUGCGCAUUAUCUCCACUCAAGUGGGGGGUUAGAUAACUGAAAACUUCACGAGGAUCGUGAACAUACGUUUAGGUAAUAUCACCACACAAUUAACACUACUCAGUCGGGCACCAACAAUAGUGUUGCUACGCCCACUGCAUCAUUUGCACCUACAUGCGAUAAGCAUCAUGACUCUCAGAAUUAUCUGAUCUCUCUAUAACCAAAAUCAGAUGCAAUCCUACAAGCGCCCUUUCAGAAACAAAAUUGGAAGGCAAGGCCACCGCUUAUAGAAAUCCUGGGAUAAUCAACUUCAAAUACAUUUGGAUUUGCGUUUAUAUAGCCAUAUAAAUUCAGGUUGUCUAGUAUUUCUGCUUCUACCAUUUUCACAACGAGGAGAUUUAUUGACAUAACUAAGUUGGGUAUGAUAAGCUCCCAUCAGUAAAAGUACCAAAAAAGUCUUAAACCUAUUUAUUGGUACCAAUACAGCCUUAAAUCUUUCAAUUAGACCAAUUUAUUUCUAAAUCUUUUCACAUUAGUAUCAAUUCAAUCCAUCCAGCUAAUUUGGGCCAGAAAUCAGUGCGUAGACACUAGCGAUCGUACGUUGCAUCGCCAGCACUAACGUGAACAUUUUAAAAAUAUUAUUUAUUAAAUUAUUUAUUUAUAUUUAUAUUUUUUUUCCUUUUUUCUUAUUGUUCCUUUUUUUUCUUUCCUUUUUUUUUUUUUCCUUUCUUUGGACUGUGACCGGUACCAGCCAUGAUCGGCGACGACUGGCCACAGCAAGGGCUGGCAAGGGUGUCAUGGCCCUCACUGGCCACGGGCGAGGGUGAGACCCUUGCGGCCCUCACCAAGUCUGGCAAGGGCUCGACCCUCACCGGAUCUAGCGACGGUGAGACCCUCGCAACCUGGGCGAGGGUGGCUCUUGCCUAACUCGGUGGGGGCGGCAAGGGCUCAAUGCCCUCAUCAGCCCCCACUUGUGGCCGAUCGCCGACAAUGGCCAAUACCGGCCACAGUCCAAAGAAAGGAAAAAAAAUUACUAAAAAAUUAUUUUAAAAUGUUGACAUCAGCAUCGGCGAUACAUAGGAUCAUCGGCAUCCAUGUCACAUAUUUCCGGCCUAAAUUGCCGGAUGAACUGUUGGUACCAAUCUAAAAAUGUUUAUGACUAAAUUGGUCAAAUUGACAGGUUUUGGACUGAAUUAGUACUAAUGCAAUAAAUUUAGAACUUUUUAGGUACUUAUCCCAGCUCCCAUUAGUACCAUCAUGCAUUUGGGUUGCUUCAUUUUCGUAAUUGACAAAGCAAAGUACUUAUAUUCCGAGAAAGGAAUUGAAGACGACUUAGUUCUUACCAGCCACUCUCUAUACCCUUGAGCACCAUCCGGGUUUAAUAUUUUCACAGCUAUUAUAGUUUCUGUCCUUCCAGACUGUUGCUUCCCAUGAAGCGUCCCUCUAUAGACAACCAAAUCCUCCCUCUCCAAGCAGCGCAUCGGCUCGAAAAUUUUUGGUUGCCUCUUUCAACUCUGCGAAACUGAAGACGGUCAAGCUGGGGUCUGCCUCAAUCUUUCCAUCUCCGAAGGCCUUUUUGUCGCGGGCAGCUAGCAAGUCAUGGCUAUUGCUGGCUGCAGGAGAUAUGAAGUUGUGAUUUUCCACUUCGAUCCUGUAGUUUCAAAAAAGAAAAACAAAGAACACAGAAAAUUGCUUCAGACGAUAACAAGAAGAACAUUAACGACUCCGAUCUGAAGCACAAAGAUUCAUUUUAUAGAGACUACAUAGAUGUAAAGAUAAAGAUCACUUUAGGAAAAAAAUUGAAGGGUACCCGAUUUGAGAUGACCAGCAUAGCUAGGAGUAGGGAAGUCAGGGGUACCAAAGCACACCCCCAUCUCUCUCUCUCUCAACGGGCUGGAGCUUCCAUGUCGCACACGACACGUAUCGACGUGUCAGACAUGCGGUCAAUACGUGUCGAAUUUUCCGACACAUGUUCAACUCUUCUCGACAUGUUCCGACACAUGUAUCCAAUAGAGAGGAUCAUUGAAGAAGACCAUGGAGGGUGGAGGCGAGGCGAAGGAGCGGAGGCAAGGCUGUGACGGUAAGGGAGUGGCACAGAAAGUGCAAAGAUUGAGCCACGACUGUGAUGGAAGGCCAGAGGCGAGGCGAUGAGUGAUUGUGAUGAGGCGACGGAGAGAGAACAGAGAUCGAGAGAGAGAGGGUCGCGCGAGGAGGAGGAGGCAGAGGGUUUAGAGGGACGAAACUCAAAAAGUUAAAAUGGGAUUUGAUGGGACUUUGGCGUGAUCCUUUCUUUCUAGAGGGAAGGGAAGUGCAUUGGACAAGAGGUCAAUUUUGAAGAAAGAAGUGACAAGUUAAGGAGUACAGGGAGAAGAAACGGGGGGAAAAUUGAGAAACAGGGAAGUGGAAUAAAUUUGGGGGUGGACCCCGAGGGACUUUUUUAUCAAAAAAAUAGAUAAGAAGACUACGAAAUCAUUUCAAAAAAUAGAAGUAUUGAAUGUUGAAUAAUUAUAAAUAAAAAAUCAUUAAAAAAUAGAUUUAUUUAAAUAAGUUAAUUUUAAUUUGUUUUUUUUUUUGUAAUAGGUAAAAUGUAUUAUAACUUUUAACCAAGGAGCUACACAAAGGCACAGCAAAAGAACCGACUCCAAAAACAUACACUUAGCUACACAAAGGUAAUUUUAAUUUGUUGUUAGUCAUUAGUUUUAUCAAUAAUUUUUACUAGAGUUAGAAACAUAUCCACAAACAUGAAUACACAUUAUUUAUGAAUAUCUUUCGAAUUUCUUAUAAAUAAAUUUAUUAAUAUUAUUAAUAUAAAUUUAUUGUAAUCUCUUUUUUAUUAUUUAUUUAAUUAUAAAACUAAAUUAAAUUAAUUAAAAAAUAAAAAUAUUAUAUUUAAUAUAUAAUAUAUCUCAACAUGUUAAAAUUUUUUAUUUUUAAAUAAUAAUUUAUUGGCAUAUCAUAACGUGUUUUUUCUUCUCCCUUGCCUUUACAAAGUCUCAUUUCUUCGGAAGUUGAGGCAAUUGACUUUUUUUCCGUACAGACAUGGCAAAUCACCCAAACGCGCUCGAUGCUGACAUUUUCUGGCCCGUCAUUAACUCUCUGCGGAAAGUCAAAGCUGGCUCCGCACGUCGUUUUCACACUAGUUGAUUUUCUUGUUUUUCCAUGGCAGAUCCCACGAAUUUCCACAGCAAAUCCCCUCUCAGUGGAAAGUCAAAUUUCCACAAAUUUCCACACUCGGGGGACUUUUAUAUGUAGGAAAAAUGCUGAUAAGAACAAAUAAAUUUGUUUGAAGCGUGCAAACGUAAGCACUGUCCUUAAGGAUAAUUCCGCCCCUCGGAGUGCGAAACUCGGUGAUAGGCUUCUGACGGCUAUCCUCCCAAGAUACAACAGACCUUCUUCUAUAUUCCGCACUGAAUAUUAGAAGGAACAGAAACAACAUCUGUAUAUAACCCAGCAUGAAAAAGGAAAGGAAAGAUUUCAAAAAGAAAGAAUAUUCUUUGUUUCAUUCGGUGUGUAUUUUUAAGAUUGUCUUAUGAGAUUUUAUAUUCAGACAAAAUAGAGCCGUUAAAAGAGCUAUUGUAAAAUAAUGAAGAAUUUAUUUGAGAAAUAAAUUAAAUGUUACAAACGGUUGAAAAGCCAUUAUAUGACCAUUAAAAAACCGUUAUGUGACCGUUAAAAAUAAUAAUAGUCUUCAAUGUGGUCAUAACUAUUAUUGAAGUUAUUAUUGUUAUUUCAAAAUAUUAUUGAAAUAUCCAACAAUCCCCCACAUAUUUCAAAAGAUUUUAAAAAUAAAAUUAACAUGAUGCUUGGUUAUUGGAGUGUAAUGCAUCGGAACUGGUGCUUGUUAGGCUAUGAACCAGCCCUAUAAAAAAUGAAAUAUAAUUCACGAAAUUAUUAGUGAAGUUUGAAACUUCUAUGAACCAAAAAUUUCUUUUGUGAAUUAUAAUUUUCACCAAUCACAUUGCACUCCCACAAACUUUGUUGUUCAACGCGGUUUUGCGCUAAUAGGCCAUGCGUGUGCUUGGUUUAUUCAUAAGUGCUUUAGAAAUUUUCACCAAAAAUUCUCAUAGGAGUGGCCCCACUCCACACUUAUAUAGGUGAUUCCAUCAAGUGUAUUAUGCAGCUUAAUACACCACCAAUAAUGGCUAUGGAAUUUCAUUAAGAGCUUAGCUCAACCUCUUUUUUCCUUGCAGUUUUGCACCAUUCUCAUUUUAGGAUGGAUAAUAAUUUUUAAUAGUGCAUCACUAGAACAACAAGUGACUUGUUAUUACCCAUAUGAACCUAAUUCAUGGGAUUGCCAAUCACAUAGGUUGGGUUACCAUCACUGUUACUUUUCCUCAAUUGGCUUAAGUCACAUUCCCCUCGAUGUGUCAUAAAUUAAUUUUCUUCCCACAGGUUUACUCAGAAGAUCGGCUAAAUUCACUUCUGAAUUUACAAAAUCGAUAGAUAUAAUUCCAUCUUUAAGCAGCUACUUUACUACAUCAUGUCUCAGUCGGAUGUGUCUAUUUUUACCAUUGAAAUUGUUAUUCUUUGCUAUGGCUAUUGCCGCUUGGCAAUCAUAGUGCAUAGACACAGAAAGGUGUCGGUUUCAUUCCCAAAGAAAUAUCCGCUAAGAGGUUCCUUAACCACUCACUCUAGAGCCACAAACUCUAACUCCAUGGUGGAUUUAGCAAUUAUUGUUUGUUUGGCUGACUUCCAAGUUACAGCACCUCCACCAAAGGUAAACACAUAUCCACUAGUGGAUUUUGUCUCAUCUGAAUCUGAAAUCCAAUUAGCAUCACUGUAUCCUUCUAAUACAGCGGGAAAUCCACUAUAUAAGAUGCCAUAAUUCAUGGUUCCUCUCAAAUAUUUCAUUAAUCUAUUCAAAGCAGUCCAGUGAUAUUUGUGUAUAUCUGCUCAAUCUACAUACAACAUAAGCUAUAUCAGGUCGAGUAUAAUUCAUCAAAUGCAUCAAACCCCCAAUAAUUUGAGCAUACUUAGACUAAGUCACACCAUCUCCUUUAUUUUUCAUUAAUUGGAUAUUAGAAUCAUAAGGAGUAUUCACAGGUUUAACAUCAAAGUGAUCAUAUUUUUUAAGUAGCCUCUCCACAUAAUACGCUUGAGUAAGCAUUAGGCCACUAUCACUCUUUAUGAUUCUAACACCCAAAAUAAUAUUAGCUUCCCCCAAGUCCUUUAUAUGGAAUUUAGAAGUUAAAAAACAUUUUGUUUCAUUCACUACAUCAAUACAUGUACCAAAAAUAAGCAUGUCAUCAACAUAUAAGCUAAUAAUUACAAAUUCACCAUCAAUAGUUUUUGUGUAUACACAUUUAUCUACUCCAAUAGAGAAAAAUCCAUUACUAACUAGAACAUCAUUAAUUUCUCAUACCAUUGCUUUGGCGCUUGCUUUAAGCCGUAUAAAGAUUUAACAAGUUUACAAACUUUAUUUUCUUGGCCAGGAAAAAUACAGCCCUCAGGUUGCACCAUGUAAAUUUCCUCUUCCAAAUCACCAUUUAAAAAAGCUGUUUUAACAUCCAUUUGGUGAAUAAUAAGUUUGUAAAUAGAAGUCAAAGCAAUUAAAACACGAAUUGAUGAAAUUCUUGUAACUGGAGCAAAAGUGUCAAAAAAAUCAAAAUUUUAUUUUUGAGUAAAACCUUUUGCAACUAAUCUUGCUUUAUAUUUAUCAAUAGAACCAUCAGGAUUAUAUUUUCUUUUAAAAAUCCAUUUACAACCGAUCAGUUUCGCACCGAAUGGUAAAUCAACUAAUUUCCAAGUUUGAUUUUGUAAGAUAGAAUCAAUCUCGAUUUUUAUAGCUUCUUUCCAAAAAUUGCUUUCUGAUGAAGAUAUUGCUUCAGAAUAAGUCAAAGGAUCAUUAUCAAUAAGAUAAGUAUAAAAAUCAUUCCAAAAAAAAGUUUCUUUCCUUAUUCUUUUGCUCCUUCUCAAUUCGUCAUUUGAAUUUUUGAAAGACGGUACUUGUCAGUUCUGUUUGAGAUCUUUCGCANNNNNNNNNNNNNNNNNNNNNNNNNNNNNNNNNNNNNNNNNNNNNNNNNNNNNNNNNNNNNNNNNNNNNNNNNNNNNNNNNNNNNNNNNNNNNNNNNNNNUUUUUCAUUUGCAUUGGCUAUAACCCGUCCAUCAGUUGAGCAGAGGGAAACAUAGGAUCUCCUAUCGCUAUUAUGACUCUUUUCUCCCAUUUAGAGGACAAAAGAUCAAGUCAUCAAAGUGAGAUACUAGGCUUUUCAUCGUCAUCAUUAUCCUUCUCCCAAGAAUUUGACUAGAAUGAUAAUAGAGUUCAUAUGAAUUUUGUGAUACAAGACCAUAAUAAUUAUAAGGAGGAUUAAAUAAUAACCUGAUCUAGCAAAAUAUUUGCAGGUUUGAUAUCCCUGUGUAUCAUGUUACAGGAACUGUGCAAGAAGGCCAGGCCUCGGGCAGCCCCGACCAUAACCUUGAGGCGUACAUUCCAUGGAAGACUUCCAGCGGAGCCCCCUGUACCAGAGUAAUGGACAGUUUAAAACGCGAGUCAUGCUUCAAUGCAAGUACAUGUUCAAACCAGCCUGAAUUUUGAAAUUAGCACAAGCAUCGACUAUAACUAUCAACUGAUCAAGCGGAUAUGCUAAACAAUGGGCAUCCUUAAGGAGACUUUUCCGAAAUUUACAAAGUGAUUAGACCACGUACUUCUGAAUAGCUGGUUUUCCAGACUGCCCAUUGGCAUGAACUCAUAAACAAGAGCUAAAUUUUGAUCGUCGUGACAAUAUCCUAGGAGCUUGGCAAGGUUAGGGUGAGAUAUCUUUUCAAUAAAGGCUAUCUCCCUCUGCACAAAAAUAAGCAAAAGAGUCUCACACAUGGUCAAUAGUGAAAGAUAUGAAAGAAAUGGAAGCCCCCACACUAAACCAGGUAGAUGUUUCUCUCCUUAAGCUUCAAAUGGUCAAAGAAAUGAAACAAUCACGAUGGAAUAGUUGAUAUCGAAACAAAAGGUAUAGAAUGGGAACUGAGACCUAAUUUCCAAAGAAAUAUUCAGUUUAACUAGUAGUUUGACUGAAGACUCAUGGUCAUUGUGCAUCAUGUAAUAUAAAAUACAUAUCAAUAUUGGUAAAAUGUACUUCAAGUCAUUCUAGCUUUGUAGAAAAAAUCUAGCUCGCCAUGAACCAGUAGUAGCGAUGCAGAAUCAUUGGAAUUUGUAACUGAAACCAUUUAUAAUUUGCGAUCAAACUGGUGACUUUAUGUUGUAGUGGCGUAUCCACCCUAUAUGGUUUUAUAAGCCUUGCAAUUUGUUUCAGUUCUUGAAUAUAUAAGGAGAAUUCGCUCGAAGGAAGAAGAAAACAAGUUCACUAUGAAAAGAACCGCUUUGCAUUAGUCAAAGAAGGUUGGAAAGACGAGUUGCCUGAGGGCUAUGAUCACAUCGAAAAGGUUGAUCAUUACAUGGAUGGAAGACUUUGAACUUAUAUUUGCGCAAUUUCUUCAUUCCUUGCAAUCGAAUUACACUUAGUAGCUUCUUCCAAUGGUUAGCAUCAUACAAGCCAAUGGCCACACACACUCCAUGACAUGGGUUUACUAAGUCAAUUACAAAAUAAAAGAAAUGCAAAAAAUAAAGUUCAUGACCGUUAACUAAAUGGAGCCCUAAAAUCUAUUUUGCUGAGGACCUUAGUGACCAAAUAAUCUCAAGAACAAAAUCACUUCUCAGAUUCUUCUUUUACUUCGUUUAAAUUCAAAUAAUGCACAUUGUAUACACUAAAGUGGGGGGUUAGAUAACUGCAAACUUCACGAGGAUCUUGAACAUACGUUUAGGUAAUAUCACCAAACAAUUAACGCUACUCAGUCACGCACAAACAAUAGUGUUGUCUGCUGCAUUGCACCCCAGCAAAGCCGAUGAGGCCGUCAAUGAACUCUCAGAAAUAUCUGAUCUCUCUAUAACCAAAAUCAGAUGCAACCCACAAGGGUCCUUUCAGAAACAAAACUAAAAGGCCAGGCGACCACUUAAAGAAAUGCUGGGAUAAUCAACUUCAAAUACAUUUGGAUUUGCGUUUACAUAGCCAUCAUAAUUCAGAUUGUCCAGUAUUUCUCCUGCUAUUUUCACAACGAGGGUGUUUAUUGACACAGUUGAGUUGGGCAUGACAAGCUCCCAUCAGUACCAUCAUGCAUUUGGGUUACUUCGGUUUUGUAAUUGACAAAACAAAGUACUUGUACUCCGAGAAAGGAAUUGAAGACGACUUAGUUCUUACCUGCCACUCUCUAUACCCUCGAGUGCCGCCCUGGUUUAAUAUUUUCACAGCUAUUAUAGUCCAUGUAUUUCCAGACUGUUGCUUCCCAUGAAGCAUCCCUUUAUAGACACGACCAAAUCCUCCCUCUCCAAGCAGCGCAUUGUCCGGAAAAUUUUUGGUCGCCUCAUUCAACUCUGCGAAACUGAAGAUGGUCAAGCCGCGGUCUGCCUCAAUCUUUCCAUCUCCGAAGGCCUUUUUGUCGCGGGCAGCCAGCAAGUCAUGGCUAUUGCUGGCUGCAGAAGAUGAGGAAGUAGCGUGGGCAGCCGGCAAAUUGUUGCUGGCUGCAGAAGAUGAUGAAUUAGUGACUUCCCACUUCGCUCCUGUAGUUUCAAAAACGGAAAGCAAAGGAACAGAGAAAAUUGCUUCAGAUGACAACAAGAAGAACAUUAAAGACGCCAAUCUGAAGCACAAAGUCUAAUUUUAUAGACUACAUAGAUGUACAGACAAGGAUAAAUGUAGGAAAAAUUUAAAGAGUACCUGAUUUGAGAUGACCAGUAUAGCUAGGAGUAGGGAAGUCAGGAGUACCAAAACACACCCCCAUCUCUCUCUGUCUCUCUCAACAAGAACUUCUGUCUUUUCGCUACCUCGCCUCCUCCAACUCCAAAUCUUGUUUGCUCUGGAGAGGUGAAAACACCUAAAAAGGCUCUCGCUGCUGACAUUUUCUGUCAUUUUCCACACCAGUUGAUUUUCUUAAUGCCCAAAGCAGGUCCCACAAUUCCAACGCGUUCAUAUAUUGACCUCCGAGAGACUUUUACCGUAAUAUUUGACGUUUCAAAGGUGGUGGGACCCACACGAAAAAAUAAAUAAAGAAAAAGGAGAAGGAAAGCAGAAAUAGGGCACGCCCGGUUUUAAAACAAACUCCAUUCAGUAGAAUUUAGAAAUCCAUAAAGUCGAUCGAGAAGAAGCUUCCUCUUCUUUUCUGCCGACUCUGCCCUGCUUACGCCGGAAUAAAAAGUCUAUCCUUUUUUCAUCAGAGUCGACCAAUUUGGAAAGAUCAUGCAAAUCAUUUGGUGGAGAUGUCAAAUGUCUGUGGAAGGGAUUUACACCGCACUCCGCGUUAAUUCUGUUCUCUUAGGUAUCUUUCUUCGCAAUCCGACAACCGAGCCAGAGUCCUUCAUGGAACUAGUUUGCUGCCAGCUUAGCUGGCAAAUAGUCCUUAUGAAGCCAAGAGGGGAAUUGAUUCCAUCAUCCGCUUUCGUGCGCUUAAGUCAGGUUUUUGCUUUCUUGCAGUGUAUCCAUCCAUUCACAAACAUUCCCAAAGCAGCAGCACAAAAUGAUGUUGUAUUAUUAGGACCAAAAAAAAUUAUUUCAUUUCCAAGACACUGUUGGAGUCAACACCUAAUAUAAUAAUGAAAGUCCAUUAUGCAUAUGCAUGAAGUCUGGACGUGAGGCGGUGAAUAAGAAGAAACUCGUACGUGGGCAGCAAGCGUACACAUGAAGGAAUAGAUGGGCACAUAUUAAAAUAAUAGUAUAAUUGUUACUGGAGCCUUCAAGGAGCAAGAAGCAAAGUUCAACUUUGUUAGUACUUGGACGUGAAGGAAAAGAAGACAGCCCACAAUUUUUGACUGCCAAGAAGAAAAGCUCAACUUCAAUUCUGCACGUUGAAGAUAAUGGCGGUGAAGUGCUUAUAAAUAUAGGGUUACGUUAGUUUAUUUAGUGAGAGAGUGAGAUUUAAGAGAGAGUUAUAAGCUUAGCAAAGCUUGUGUGUGUCUUGUGUGUGUACUCCAUUAAGCCUUUACAAGGCAUAUUGUGUAAUAUAAUCUCUCUUUGUGUGUUUACACUCUCUCCCUCCAAAUCCUUUUGGUUCCAACAGACACAAUCAAUUUCCUUUCCCAAUUUCAUAGACGGCAAGAGAUUAAGGGAAAACCAGCUCUAAUCUUAGGUUCCCACGAAACAUUCGGACAGUUUGGCCGAGCAGCUUUCUUAACCGCCGACAUGAAGGCGACGGGCUUUUCUCUGAACGCCCUACAAAUCUAACUAUUUACCACCUUCGAAAUGCACGUCCUUUGCAAACCUUUGGUCGCUACACUUAAGACUUCCGAAGCUUUAGACCUAGACAGCUUCCACAUAAACAAGCCACUUCCAGGCACGCUGCUAGACCGAUGGAAAGCAACUUUCAAGCCACAAUUUUCGUAGCCUACAUGAUUCCCUGCAAUUAGCCAGGGACCCUUAAAAAGUACCGUCAUUGGCCAUUAAUUCCAAAAUGCACUCUCAGAAGCUCGGAAACUUCCAGGCAAAGAUGAUGUGAUUAAGCUGAGCUUUUUCUUUCAUCAUGCCAUAGAAAGCUGUCUUGAUCAACAUUGCCUGAACCACCUGUUCUAAAUUGAAUAAAGAUGUAGAGUUGAGCCUAGGAAUCAUCAUCAGCCAUGCACUGGUGUGGUCAAAAAGAAAUUGCAGGAGAAACCGACUGCUAAAUUCAUGAACUCAAAAUUGAACACACUAAGGGAGUAUGAUGUCAUGCACAUACCUACUAAGUUGUUAGACGACCAAUAAGCUUGAUGGAAAAGCAGGUACUCAUUCAAAACUAUCCUUAACAAAGUAUGGAAUGUGCCCAUCGAGCUUAGCUGACAUCCCUCUCAGAUACACAACAGCAUUAAUUAAAGAACCCCGCUUAAUACCCAUCGUUGGCCCCAUAUACUGAGCCAUAAGCUCCCCCAUGCGCAGUGAGUCCUGGGUUCGAUGCCGGAGAUGCAUAAACAGAACCGUGAGCUCCAUAAGAAUUAUAACCUUGGUCCAUGUGCCCAGCUGCUGGUGCCUGCGAUGGUGCUGCUGCUGCCUCCGCUAUAAAAUUCUGCAAAAUGGAUAUGUUUUUUGGCGUUAAAGUGCAGAAGCCUACAUCAAAUGGUCAUAAGGAAAUGCAACAACAUCGUCCAUCUCUCCUCAGUUGAACCACUAUAAUAACUGUCUACCAAAAGAUAGAAUGUACGUGACAGUAGAGGCACUUUCUCUAGGAGGCCUCUUCGGCAUUUUCAAAUCCAAAAUUUAAAGCAAUUGCAAGACUAACGUAACUAAGUUGAUUCCAAAUCUAUAGAGACAUUAAAACUAAGACCCUGAAAAAUAAGUUGGGUAAAAGAAUAGUUGACUACUUCAAGAAAUUUAUAAUGUUUCAAGAAUGGUUUCGAAGCCAUAGAAGGGAAAAAUCUUCUGAGCCGAAUCAAAUAUGAAAGCAAUCGAGUGAUGGAUUUAACAUUUGAGUCAACUUGGUCAAUCCAGUUUUCAAUCUUAAUAAAAGAUUUUAAUGAUAAAAAUUGGGAAUCAAAUUGGUUUUUCAUGGUGGAAACAAACCAAUUCAAUUAGUGGGUCUAUUCUGAACUCCCCAAAAAAGUUAAUAAGUUUGUUAGCUCUCGAGGAAGUUUUGCACUAAAAAAGAACAAAUUAUCAGUGUUACUUAACAUUUCAUCCUCACUGGUAGUCCGGUACAAGUUUCAACAGCACAUAUGAUAUUCUCCAAUAUUUCAUAUUCAAGGGAGAAGAUGAUUCGAGAUCAUCAUUGUUAAGAUAAAUUUCAAUUUUUUUUCUCAAGUUUCUCAAUCAUCUCGACAUAUUUAUUUUUCUUAAGUCAUCUCGAGACAAAAAACCAACCUGUCCCAUUUCCGUCUCUCUUUUUUUCCUUACUUUGUAAGAUUCCUUUUGGGAAAUGGCACUAUAUGCUUCUCUAGGUUAAAGCUUCCACCUAACUUUCAACUCUUUCGCUCGCUCACUCACAUCCCAAGACCAGAUCCAAUGUACCCUUCAAAAGCGCCCAUACUCUUACCCAGGUUCAUUCGCCCCCAACUCUUUCCUCAUUUUCCUCCCUUCCCAUCACUCCAUAAUGCUCCUCCUCCUCCGCCGUUGCCAUUUAUCGAUGCCACCGUCAACCUUCCGAGGCAUCCGAGGGGUUGGCUUCUGGCACGCGCGCACCUUAGCAGGAGUAGUGCAGGUGAUUAGCUCCCUCUGGACUUUACUUCGUCCAUUUCCACAUGAAGUUAAAAAAACCACACGCUAGCAAGCAUUAGAUGGUCCUUCUUAUAAAAAAAAUUCUUGGAUUAUGUUUGAGAUUUUUACUAGGUCCGUAUUUUUUCUAGAAAUUAUGUCCUUUAUCAGUGUAAAGAAAUUUCUACACAUUCCGCGUUGGAUAGGGCAACAUGUGUAACAAUGCACUUUGAUAUUUAUCCAUGUAUUUUCAUACAAAUAAGUGCUGCAGAAUCAAAGGAGAACCAAUAUUUGAACUCUCAAUAAGUAUGUUUUGGCAAGACAUUAUCAAACGUCCAAACUUAGGUUAACAUUUUUCAACACAUUUAUUAGCCACUUUCUAAAAGAAUACUUUACGACAUUUGUAGUAGCCACGCUGGAACAAUUUAUAGACAUACCAUGCUCAAAACGACCAGCCCAUCGCAUCGACUUCUUUAUUUUUUAGAAGGGCUUCUUCGCCCUUUUCUUUUUUCACAUGGCUCGGACAAAUUGAAUCUUUCCAAGAAAAAAAAAGACAAAUAUAACUCUAUGGAUGGGCUGAGGUACAAAAAANNNNNNNNNNNNNNNNNNNNNNNNNNNNNNNNNNNNNNNNNNNNNNNNNNNNNNNNNNNNNNNNNNNNNNNNNNNNNNNNNNNNNNNNNNNNNNNNNNNNGAAACAUAGACCGUCGAGAUCGACCGCAGAGGGAUGAGCACGCGCUCAAAGGAUCGGGGCGUGACAAUAAUUGUCCGAGCAAUUGCCUCUAUGCCCCGGCCAACUAAGAGUAAGUUAUUUUUGCAGCACAAUAGACAUCUUAUAUGGAAAGUAACACAUAUUUAAGUUAGAUAGUCGUAGUCUUUUAGAGUGUGAAUGUUGCGCGCACAUGGUACAUCUACAUGACCACAGAAAAUGCCGAGGGUGGUCAAACCAUCAUUAAUACGGGCUAAAAUUUUCCCCUUUUGUCACGGACAAGGGCCGGGGGGGAUGUUAUAUAGUCUGUAAAGAGUGGCCAAAUGCAGAGCUGUGUCCAUCCGGCUCAUUUAUAACAUCCUCAAGGUUGGGUGUCUGCAGUAUGUACUUGACUACAAUUUUCUCUGCCACCUAUAUAACUGCAGCAUGAAUUACCAUUUGUCCUUUGUCAUUGAUUGAUAUCGAGACACAAUCUAACCAUCUCGGCAAUGACACCGAUGUGGUUCAGAAUGCAGCAGUAUGAAGAGUGGACUCCCCAUCUUUGUCUGAGAAAUUUUCUGCAGAAACGUAGGAUGCCGGAAUAGUUUAACUGCUUCAGCACUGCCAUAGUAAGCAACGUAAUGAAGAGGAGUCCAAAUGUCAUCUCCUUCUCUAAUCAUCAGGGUUCUUUCAUGCGAUGGUUUCUUCGCGGCAACCUUCCCAAAUCUCAAUUAAAUGAGGGUUGCAAGGUAUAUUAAGACUGUUUCAGACUCGAGAUUGACUCUUAUGAUGUGUUGUUUCCUCACUUCUUUUUACUGCAAUCUUAAGGGCAAUGCAGCAGCAUAUAUGGCGUGGUUAUCUCGACGAUUUUUUUCUAUCAUCCAUCUUUGCCUCUCUUAGAUAAACUGGUGCAAUUAAUAGAUACGUAAAACUAAACGCCAGAAGUUUUUGGCAGAGGAUUCCUCUAGUAUUCAUCAAGGGAAUCAUGCGCUCUUUCAUUCCUGAAAUUGGAGGCUGAGGCUCUAAUUGGAUGUCACAAAGUAUCAGGUCAAAAAAAAAUUUGAUGGAAACAUCACUCAAUGAAGGUCUUUGCAUUGCACCUCUGUUACUUCUCACCUCUCAAGUUUUCUCCUUUCCAUUUCAAUGGGAUUGCUGAUGCAGUUCAGCCUGGAAGCAUCCUAGAGCCAAGAGGUUAUUCAAUUUUUUACUGCUUGUGCAUGGUUAAUCUAAUUGUUUGCUUUCUUGAAGUAACCACACACGCAGAGGAUUAGUAAGAUUGGGGUAGAAAUCGUCCGCGCGGUUGACAAAGAUACGUUAGCAGAUUUACUUCUAUCCUUCCUUCUAUUUCUAGUCAGAAAGAGACACAGGUUCCCAUAAGUAAGAGUCUCGGGAUACUUACAGCGGGACCAAUCACAGCAGGACCAAUCAUAGUCUGCUGCCGCCCGCAAAGCACUCAUUCUGUAACAUCCCGGGCCCCACUGUGUGAUAUUGUCCGCUUUGGACACUGAGUCCUCACGGCUUUAAAACGCGUCACACAAAUUAAGGGACCCAAGCCUUAUAAACAAGGCCCAGGACUCCCCCCUAAGCGAUGUGGGACAAGAGGGAGAGGAUCCCUUCCUUGCGCAUGUCCGGGGACCGAGGCGCGGACGCACCACCAUCCCUCCUCCUCGCGCACCGCCGCUCGGGCCGACACACUCUCCCCCCCUUAACAGAACAGCGUCCUCGCUGUGGCCCCACACGCUACCUUGAGAUAUAUGUACAAAGUCACCCUUCAUCUUUGCUUGGAAUGACUUUGGGAAGAAUUGAGCAUUGAACGCCUUUUUAAAGUCCUCCCAUGAUAUAAUAACAUCCCUACCUCUUCGGGACCCUUACAAGAGGACAACGACAGGGAUGCAUCUAACAUCAGCCUAGUAAUUUGAUGAGCCCAUUGUGGAGUCGCCACGUAUAGUGGGGAUUCAUCGGCAGCAUUAAAAAUGUUACACAGUUUAUGAUCUUCGAACCAGCAAUUUCUCUGGCUGCAUAGUGCAGUGCAGCGUCCUUGUCCGAAUUUGCCAUUCGAAGAAUCUCUUUGCAUGUAUCAACUUGUCCUUAUUCAAAAACCUAAUGCAGUCGAUUUGCAAACGUAAUGGAGAGUUGUUUCAAAGCAUCUUACUUCAGCAGCAACGUGUAGGGGAGUGUCUCUUCUGUAGUUGCUUUGCCAAAGAAGGAAUGGUCGUGAUGGACAUUGAAUGUAAGAUAUGAUUAUAAAAAGAGGAAGAAGUCGAACUCCAAUAAAAAUGCCCGCUGCUACCGUAGAAGCGGCACGUAUGAGAGCCAAAAUGGGAGUAGGGCCUUCCAUGGCACUAGGUUACCAUACAUGAAGGAGGCAUUGUCCUGAUUUCCCAACUGCACCUCCAAAUUAAAGAAAGGCACAUAAAGUAAGAAAUAAUAAGGAAACCUCAUUAUUAUAAAUCAAGUUAUUGAUAUUUGUAACAAAUCCCUUUUUACCGCAAAGAUGUUGCGCAAAUGGGAUUUGAUCAAAAAUUCUCACUACUUCUUAUAUUUAUGGACCCCACGCCCCUAUGGCGAAAUUGGUAGACACGUUGCUCUUGCAACGCAAAAGAGCAUCUACGAUCAACUUUACAUCUUGUAUUAAGCAGCAACACAGAGCGUUGUUCUACUUGGGCGUUGUUUCGUGGAAAGGGAAAAAGGGAGAAUGUAAACCCAAUGCACGUGCUGAAAGAGCAUGCCUGCACAAGUUCAACCUUAGGAGACUUUGGAGGUAAAUCACAAUAUUCGAAUAAAGAGUACUAACUUGUCUUCUAUAAUUGAUUAAUUAUUGAGUGUUACUAUUUUCAAAUUAUGAUUGCGGACCACACAGUCAAGCUAUGGUCCAUAAAGGUAAGUUAUCGGUUACAAGUGAAAACAAGUUCCCGCCAUUAAAUAUAUACUAUGACUUAAAGUUAAAUUACGGCACCUGUUUUGGAUCCAAAAUGCACCCUUUUCAUGUCCAGUCCAAUAUAAGAUAGAAAUAUUAUAGAUAACAUUUUAAGAGAAUUUCAAUUCAACUUUAUCUAAUAUUAGCAUGUAAUCUUGCAAGAUUCGAUGAUACUUUCAUUCUCGAAAAAAAAAUGCAAUUUUUUAUAGAACUAGAAACUCGUUCAUACUUCACACGUAAGCAACAGUCCCUUAGCAUAGGCACAUGAUGAUAUGCAUUACGAUAAUCAGAAAUUGAUUAAGUUAACAUUAGUUAUGUGUCAAGAUUUCAGUUUCCAAAUCCCUAUAGAUCUUUGUAUACCAUGAUUUCUGUUUUUGAUACUGUAUCGUUGUUUCCAUGUUCGACAACCUGUAUCCAGAUUGAGCAUAUAUCAUUGUGCUCAAGUCCUGCCUCCAAUUUGUUAUCUAUGUUCCAGGAAACCAAGAAAAGAUAACGAAACAAUUGGACAUGUCUUGGCCGCAACAACAUAGCGCCAAAUCACAUGUCUUGUUCAAUUGGAAUCGACAACUAGGCAGCUCUUUACUUUAAAUGACUCGAUCAGUAACCCAACCUUGUCUCAGAGCUCAAAAAUAACAAGAAUGGAACGAACAGCAUAAUUCUUCCUGGAGAUUGGUGGCGGGCCGAGUGCCAUAUGAACAAAUUCACGACAGCAACAGGAAUGAGCUUCUACUGAUGUUUAAAGCCUCAGCAUGAAAGAAACAAAAGAGCUCGUACUCUUGAAGAGCUACGGACUUUUUUGGUAAACCUUAGAUUGCUAACAAAAUUAAGGAUUAGCCAUCAAAAAACAGUUCCCCUCUUAAAGAAAGUGUAAUCACAACGUCUCAAUUCGGAAGUUGAUGCACAUAAUGAUAGACACGUAUGAAUAUUCCAAAGAGCAUAAAAGAAGACACAACACUGGUAGCUACUGGGUACAAUCGAAAAGAAUAUUCAAAGCCCGUUUGUAAUCCUUGGAAGCAACAGACUUGGAUCCCAUCACAUGAAGUACAAACAACAUAACAAAUAAAUUCACACAUUCCGUAGUAUUCCUUUAGCACUGACCGCUGCUAUUGAUUCCAGUGUUUCCACGACUUCACACAUGGAAGGCCGGGACUUUGGAUUAGGUCUAAUGCAUAUAAUAGCUAGCUGUGCUAUCCGGCGUACAGAGCCCACACUAUAUUCGUCCCGCAAUCUCGUGUCAACUAGAGCCAACGGUUUUCUUUUACUGGAUAAGUAUAAUCUGGUCCUCUCCACUAAAUCAACUCUAUCUGCUGGACUGCUCAGAUCAAAUGCCCUGCUACCUGUUAGUAUCUCAAGCAACACGAUGCCGAAACUAUAAACAUCACUCUUUAUGGUGGGAUGCCCUGUAAAAUCCGAGAGUCUUAUGUGAUGUUGCAGCAAAGCAUCAGGAAAUAACUUUCCCAUAUUAUUGUCAAAAUUCAAGACCGAGCAUCAGUCAGCACUAAGUCACCAAUAAGCACUUUAAAACGGAAAAAUUACCAGUUGUUCUGUAUUCAGGGGCAGCAUAGCCAUAGGUACCGAUAAACUGUGUUGAAACAUGUGAAUUGUCUUCUGGAGGACCAGACCUCACCAAUCCAAAGUCCGAGAGUUUGGCCGUGUAAGACUGCAGAAGAAGCGGACAGUGGAUUAGACUCGGUUUCUAGCCUAAAUAUCAAUUACAAACUUCAGUAAAUCUAGCAAAAAACAAAAUGGAGAUAUCUAAAAGCAACUGGGGACUAGUUAAGGGUCUUGUCUUGGGUUCUGAACUUAACAUCAAAUCUAAGAAGGAUAGAUUUGCAAUCGACUACAACCCCUCUAUCAGUUGAGCACAGGGAAACAUAGGAUCUCUGCUCGCUGUUAUGACUCUUUUCUCCUGGUUAGAGGACAAAAUAUCAAGUCUUCAAAUUGAGAUACUAGGCAUGUCAUCACCAUCAUCAUCCUUCUCCCAAAAAUUUGACUAGAAUGAUAAAAAAGUUCAUAUGAAUUUUGUGGUACAGGAACAUAAUCAUUAUAGGGAGGAUAAAAUAAUAACCUCAUCUAGCAUAAUAUUUGCACUUUUGAAAUCCCUGUGUAUCAUAUUACAGGAAUUGUGCAAGAAGGCCAAGCCUCUGGCAGCCCCAACCGCAAUCUUGAGGCGUACAUCCCAUGAAAGAUGAUCAGCAGACACCUCUGUACCAGAGUAAUGGACAAUGUAAAAUGUAAGUAAUUCUUAAAAGCAAAUAGGUGUUCAAACCAGCCUGAAUUUUGAAAAUAGCACAUGCAUCGACUAUGACUAUCAACUGAUCAAGUGGAUAUGCUAAACAAUUGGCAAACUUAAGGAGAAUUUCCGAAAUUUACAGAGUGAUUAGACCAUUUACUUCUGAAUAGCUGGUUUUCCAAACUGCCCAUCGGCAUGAACUCAUAAACAAGAGCUAAAUUUUCAUCGUCAUGACAAAAUCCCAGGAGCUUGGUAAGGUUAGGGUGAGAUAUCCUUCCAAUAUAAUGUAGCUUCCUCUGCACGAAAAAAAAAGCAAAAGAGUCCCACACAUGGUCAGUGGUAAAAGAUAUGAAAGAAAUGGAAGCCCCCACAGUAAACCAGGUAGAUGUUUUCCUCCUAAAGCUUCAAAUGGUCAAAGAAAUGAAACAAUCACAACGGAAUAGUGGAUAUCAAAACAGAAGGUACAGAAUGGGAACUGAGACAUAAUUUCCAAUGAAAUGUUCAGUUUAACUAGUAGUUUGACUGAAGACUCAUGGUCAUUGUGCAUCCUGUAAUAUAAAAGACAUAUCGAUAUUGGUAAAAUGUACUUCAAGUCAUACUAGCUUUGUAGAAAAUAUCUAGCUUGCCAUGAACUAACAGUAGCUAUGCAAAAUCAUUGGAAUUUGUGACUGAAACCAUUUAUAAUUUACAAUCAAACUGGUGACUUUAUCUUGCAGUGGUGUAUCCACCCUAUGUGGUUAGACAAGCCUCGCAAUUUGUUUCGGUUCUUGAAUAUAGAAAGAGAAUUCGCUCGAAGGAAGAAGAAAACAAGUUCACUAUGAAAAGAACUGCAUUGCAUUAGUCAAAGAAGGUUGGAAAGACGAGUUACCUAAGGGCUAUGAUCACAUCGAAAAGGUUGAUCAUUACAAGGAUGGAAGACUGCGAACUUAUAUUUGUUCAAUUGCUUCAUUCCUUGCAAUCAAUUACAAUAGGUAGGUUCCUCCAAUAGUUAGCAUCAUACAAGCCAAUGGCCACACACACUCCAUGACAUGGGUUUACUAAGUCAAUUACAUAAUAGAAGAAAUGCAAAAAAGAAAGUUCAUUACCGCUAACGAAAUGGAGCCCUAAAAUCUAUUUUGCUGAGGACCUUAGUGACCAAAUAAUCUCAAGAACAGAAUCGCUUCUCGGAUUCUUUUACUUCGUUUAAAUUCAAAUAAUGCACAUUGUAUACACUAAAGUGGGGGUUUAGAUAACUGAAAACUUCAUGAGGAUUGCGAACAUAUGUUUAGGUAAUAUCACCAACCAAUUAACACUACUCAGUCAGGCACCAACAAUAGUGUUGUCUGCUGCGUUGCACCCCAGCAAAGCUGAUGAGGCCAUCAAUGAACUCUCAGAAUAAUCUGAUCUCUCUAUAACCAAAAUCAGAUGCAAUCCACAAGGGUCCUUUCAGAAACAAAAUUAAAAGGCGAGGCCACCACUUAUAGAAAUCUUGGGAUAAUCAACUUCAAAUACAUUUGGAUUUGCGUUUACAUAGCCAUCAUAAUUCAGGUUGUCCAGUAUUUCUCCUGCUAUUUUCAC
rnacentral:lncRNA from 1 species